GGAGGCGGUAGCCCUCCUCCCGACGGUGGUGGUUACAACUCUCCUCCAACUUACGGAGGCGGUAGCCCUCCUUCCGACGGUGGUGGUUACAACUCUCCUCCAACUUACGGAGGCGGUAGCCCUCCUGAUAUUGUCACCCCAAGCCCUCCUGAUACCAUCACCCCAAGCCCACCAUCCAUCACUCCAGGCACCCCUACCAUUCCCACACCUCCAUUUGACCCAAAUUCUCCUGUCCCUGGUACAUGCACGUAAGUAUUUAUAUGUACUGUUGUGUAAUGACUAAAAAACCACAAUGGUUGCACACAGUUUUUAUCACAACUUGCACAUGUUAAUAGUUUCAUGCAUUUAUAUGUUUAUUUGCAGUUACUGGAGUUCUCACCCGGGAUUGAUAUGGGGUCUGCUGGGCUGGUGGGGUACAUUGGGCGGCAUAGGUGUGCCUAGCGUUCCUGGUUUUGGGUCAAGUACGAGCCUCCUGCAAGCUCUUUCCAACACUCACACUGAUGGAUUUGGAGCACUCUACAGAGAAGGAACUGCAUCCUGGCUCAACUCCGUGGCCAGCCAUAGAUUCCCUUUCACAACCAACCAAGUCCGGAACAGUUUUGUAGCAGCACUCCACUCAGACAAGGCGGCAGCAGCUCAAGCUCGGCUCUUCAAGCUUGCCAAUGAGGGCCACCUCAAGCCAAGAGUCUGAGAAGACACCUUAAUUUAGCUUUAUCAACCACUGUCAGUUUCUUUUUAUGCAUUAUAUAUUUUGCAUGUGGUGUGAACUACAGCUACUUAAUUAAGAUUUUAAUUUGUUUUUACUCUAGUAUCUUAAGAGAUCUGUGAUGUUACAGUACUUGUCAAAGAUACUAUUAUGUUCUAUUUUAACUGCUUAAUUUUAUGUUCUUUAAGUUUUGGAAAACAUUCUUGGUUUAGUUUCCUUACAUUCAACAAAACUUAAAUUACGAGGACAAAACUAUUAGGACUAGUUAAGUAUUUUUACAGAAGAAGUAAAGAAAGAGCUUAAAAAUUUCACAGGCUUAUUUUCCUUUAUUUGACCGGUAAGGCAGAAGCUCUGGUUUGAUUAAAGAUAAUAGCAAUAAUAAUGGCUACAUAACUUUCUCGACACAAACAAUGCAGCCAUGCACGUGGGUGAUGCUGUCAUUAAUGACAGCACGCUGCUAUUCAAACUACACAAAAUGAAAAAAGGCUGCAUUUAAUGACCAUAACGCUAAGUAACAGGCUACUCAAUCAGCAACAGUUAGUUCAUUACUGAAUAAUUCUAGCAGAGUUAUCAGAAAUCCCCCAAGAAUUAAAAUAAAGGUUUGUUUGAUUUUUUUCUCAAAAGACUUAAUGUAUUUUAAUACAAGCUAUUAUAAGGAUAUGUGUUUUUAUCUCCCUGUUAUCGUAAGUCUCUCACCCUAUUCUUUGUUUACUCUACUCUCCCCCCGCCCCCCCCCCCCCCAAUUCUUCUUUCUCACAAGUCUUUUACAGAUUUAUUUUUACAUCAAGAAAGAAUAUUCAUAUAUUUAUUCAGUUUCAAGUAAAUCCCCUCCUAAAAAAAGAAAAGAGUAUCAAGUAAAUCAAAUCUACUCAAACUAUUAUAUAAGAAAACAACACAAUCGAAGAGUUGAAUGACCUGAACAUAAUAUUAAAGAAGAAACAAGCUGCCAUGCCAAUGGAUAUAAAGGAAAAUAAGAUCAAUUGUCCAUUGAUUUAUAUACAAUAGAUAUACCACUAAUUUUUCAGUUGCUGUGCAGUUUCCGGUCCAGAUAAGUCUGUUAGCUAAUACAUUGCCUGAGGCAGAUCCUGCAAUGUCAUACAUUUACAAAUGUGGAAGUGCUUAACAAAAAUUUUGAAAACUCGAGAGUUGUAGGUGUUAAUCAAGAUAGGAUUCAUAAACCGUUCCGAAGUUGUAGGUGUCGAUCAAGAGAGGAUUCAGAAUCAUUUACAAGAAACAAAAAUGCCUGCCUAUAUUCAAACUUUUAACCAUCAUUUUUGAAGGGUAAAGACUACAAAUGAAUUGAAUUAAUGCUACAGUGACCAAACUAGAACAAAAUAAAAAACAAAAAGUUAUCUCUAAAUGAGUAAAUGUUGUUUUGUCUCCAUAUUGUAAAAGCAAAUAUCUGGUGCUUUCAUUUAAAUGAGACAUCAAUAUUUUUAAUAACUGAUUAUCUAGGCUUAAAUUAAUAAACAAACUUGGUUACCGGCCUUCUGAUUUUGCAAAGGAGUGCAAUUUUCCAAGCCAUCUUUUCUUAUCACCUAAGAACCCAUGCAUCCUUUCCACAAAGUGAGAUUUAAACCUAACUCAUUUCCUAACAAACAGUGAAGUGCAGAAAUCCCAAGCACUCAACAACAUAAUCAAAUAACAAGAACAACAACAAAGAUGCUGUGUGUGGGCAUGUAAAUGAAAGACUGCAUUCGACUCAACCAAAGGCUGUCUUUAUAUGAUAGAAAAUUUAAACUCUCAACAAACAUCAAUUUUAAAGUCCAUCUGGACCAUCCCUAAAAUGCACCAGAGAAUGGCUGACAAGGCAUAAAAGAUGAUUUCUUGCUUUUUCCUCCAAAAAUAUUUUCAAUAUCCAAAAACUUCUUCCUAAAUGAAAUGUAGAGGCAGUGUUAUCUUAAAAUUUAAGCUUAAAGAACCAAUAGAAUCUAGACUCUGAACUACAAGUUCAGCAGAAGCAUGGCAAUAAAAGAUAUAAACCAAAAUGGAAAAGUAAAUAAUAGAAAGGCGAUCUUCAUAGCAGAACAAUCAUGCAAAGAACUCUGAUCAGCAAUAAAAACUACUUGUAACCCCCCCGCCCUCCCCCCCCCCCCAAAAAAAAAGAGCAAAAAUCCAAGAUUUGUAAAGAAUUUUAUUUUCUUUUUACAGAUGGCUAAAUUUAACCAGCAUCUGGGGCUUCUCUUACAUUUCUCGACAUAGAUAUACAGCUUCAGGCCUAUUUAACCACAUACGGGGACUUAACAUUUGGUUUCUCUACAAAUUCAACUGAUCUAUUUAGCUUCGGAGGUCAGAUCCAAACUACCAAUAGGUAGAAACCUACAUCAUUCAAGUAUCAAAGUGUUCCAGUCAAUAUUGGUUAUAGGCCUUACAACUGAUUGGAAGAUAUUUUGACAGAUAUACAGCCACAUCACCCUAGCAAAGCUGUAGAGGAAAUGGAGUCCUGAUCAGCUCAUACGAGUUUCAAACCAUUUAAAGAUCUGCUCAGACGGCAGGCUAGUCAUUUCGUGGUAUGCAAAUGCAAGAUUUAGUUCCUCCUGCACGUGAUGGACCAAAUUCUUAUUCAGAAAAAUGGCAUUGCUUUCUCGAAGAGCUUCUUUCCAACGUGUUCUACGACCAUCACUCCUCAUAUAUCCAUUCUCAUCAAUAAAGCCCUUCUCUUGAAAUAGCUCGAAUAAUUUAGUAGAAUUAGCCUGUUCAAGACCUGGAAUCCUAUCAGUAAAGAAAUUUCGUGACAAUGGAAACUCCAUGCAUUCGAUCUCUGCAACAUCAAUGCCUUUAUUUCUGAGAACUUCCAAAAAUUCACCUAUUUUCCGCUGCCUAUAUGAAUCUUUUGGCAUAUGCACAAAAAGAGUAGGCGGAUAGUCCUCUGGGAUAUCCAUUUGAUCAAACAACCCUUCAGCAAUCAUAAGAGCAAUACUACUAAACCUCAAACCCUUAGCAAGAGCAGAAACAAAAUACCCUCCGGAAGAGGCCCCCAAAGCCACAAGCGGAAGCUUUUCAAGCUUGUGUCUCUCAACCCACCACCUUAUAAUUUCUCUAACAACCAAUCUUUCUUCCCCUAAAGUCCAACACCUUCCUGCACUAGAAAUGGUAAUAACAGCAAACCCUCGGGAAAGGGCGUGAAGGAUGAGCAAUCUUUCCUCAGGCAAACCAAUGCAGUUAGGACAGUUAGGAGAUCUAUCCCAAAAGUGAACAGCUCUGCCAUUGCAUCCGUGAGCAAGAAAGAAAACUGCCUUUGGCGAAUCGGGUAUCUGCCAUAUCACAUCUGUCCCGUUCCUCAACUCUACAGUCGGGUUUAACUGAACAGAGGAAUCAAAGCUAUUCCAUUUUUGCUUCACAAGUCCAUACGAUGAAUUGGGUUUUUCACUGUUUUCGCCGAUUAAUAAUAUCGAUACUACAAGGAUCAGUCCCAAACAGGCAAUAAGAACUGGUAGCCGUGGCCCCUGCCAUGCCUUUGAUCUGCUUCCACGCUUGAUCAUUACUACUGUAAACAAAGAAUCAAUUCAAAUUCAAAAUGAACCAAAGUUUCAACAAAAAUUAGACUGCAUGCUGAAAAUUUAAAGGUGAAAAAAUGUAACUCAAUUAUGAAUCUUCGAAAUUCUUAGUGUUCACAAUUUUGCAACCUAUAAAAAAUUCCAAUCAUUUCACAGUUCCAUUUCUUUUCUGUGUAAUUCUCCUAUGCGUUUCUCCCUAACCAAACAAAACGACAAACCCGCAGAAUGCAAAUCAAUGCAAAACGUACCUCCAACAAUCGGUUUUAAGAAAACGCCAAUUUGGAACAUGAAAAUCCUCGAUCCAGUUCAGUUUAAGUUAUAUACUCCUAUUGAGCUUCGUUUUCAUUUUUCGGUGGCAGAAGCAGAAUGAGCUUGUGUGAUUGAACGCGCCUUCCCGCGAAUGGGCACUUAAUAGAGCUAACCGAUGCACCAGGACCAAGCGACGUCGUUUUCCCCCCCAUCGCUUACCGAGCUAUUCGAAUUAACCUCAUUCAUCAUGGUCCAUAACACUAAUUUUAGGGAUCUCCCUGACGUUUAUCGUAUUAAUAUUUAGAUAAAAAGUAUGAGCAUAUUAUUAGAUACCUCCCUUACCGUUUGUAUUCUAUUUGAUACCUUAUCAAUAUACAAGAGUAAUUUCGUAAAAAAGUUAUCUAAAAUGUUGAAAGAAUCAAAAGCAACCUCAUUGACUGCUGUGCACUUCAUUAUCCACCGGUUCCAAGGAUGCAUUGAACAAAUCUUCUCUUUCAUCUUCAAAACCCAAGCUAAUUAACAAUUAGAGGUGGUAAAAAUACACGUUCGGUCUGGACCCGGACCGUACCCGGGCGUUGUGGGCCGGGUAUGAAGCUGGAUCGGUCUUGGGCAUCACUUGAUAAAUUCGGAACCCAAAUUUUAUUAAAAAAAUAUUAUAAAAUAUAUAUUAUUUUAAAUAUUUAUAUUUAUUUGACUCAUUUAUUAUAUAUAUAUAUAAAGUUUUAAACAUGUAAAGUUUAUAUUUUCAUGUCAAAUUUUAUUGAAAUAAAUUUAAAACUUAUAAAAUUACCAAAAAAUAAAAAAUAUAUACACAUAAUAUUAAAGAAUAUAAAAUUCGGGUACCCGGAUUAAAACCCGGCCCAGACUCGGACCCAGACCGGUUGCAUCCGGGCAGGGUCCGGUCAUUGCAAUAUCCGGACCCAACCCGGGGUUUUGCCAUCUCUAUUAACAAUCCAUUCAUCCCAUAAAGUCUCAAACACACCCAAAUUCUUCUCUUUAUGCUUCUAACCUCGCCAAAUAAAGCUCAAAUAGUCAAAUUCGAAGAAUCCCUAGUUUGAAAGAAGAGCGAUGAACAACGAAGUGAUGGCGGCGGGAAAAUGUUGUCAUGAGUGACCAUUGUUGGCGACAAACGAGGAACGAAUGAGUUAUUAAAUCUCAUAGAAGGUGAAAACUCCAAAUAACUCAAUGCAUGUUAAAGUUACAGCCUUUUGGUUGAUUUGAUGUUGUGUUUAAAAAUGGAUUUAAUGUUGCGUUUGAGUUGUUGAAGAAGUUGUUGCAUGUUUUUAGUGUGAUUCGCACUAGUGAUAAGCUAAACAAACCAUUGUGUAUUAGAAAUUAGUUAUUUUCACGUGAUUUCUAUGUUAAACAAAAGUGGGUUUUAGCUUUGUAAUCACAGAUAUAAUUAUAAAUUUUUAUAAUAAAAUUGAAAUAAAAAAUUGAGAUUUUUUUAAUGGAAUUAAUUUUUGGGAUCGUAUUUGUGAUUACAAUUUAAGAUUUAAGUGGGUUUAUUCGCAAAUACGAUUUAAAUGUGUUAUAUAUAUAUAUAUAUAAAAGAUUAAAAAAAUUCCCCACAGCCAUAAGUCCUUUGGGUUUGGCAUUUUAGUGUGCUUUCUGUUAAUCUCACAUGUUUAUAAAUAGAGUAAUGAUACAGCCACAAACUCUUGUACAAAUUUAUUUUGUACAAACUGACGUGGCAUUAAUUCAUUAGUUGAAUGAAAAUAUAAAAUAAUAAAAACAAAUCAUGUGGGCCAAGUGAUAUUUAAUUCAACCAAUCUUAUCAUGCCACGUCAGUUUGUACAAAAUAAGUUUGUACAAGAGUUUGUGGCUAUAUCAUUACUCUUAUAAAUAAUAAGAUUCAUCUUCAACAUAUUGACUAAUUGGCAGGAACAAGUAGGGAUGGCAAAAUCCUCCAUGGGUUUGGGGCCCCAUGGAGCCCCACCCCAAAUGGGAAAAAUUUUGAAUAAUUUUUGGGGAAUGAUGUAGGAAGUGGGGGGAAAAUAAUCUUCAAAUUCUUAAUGGGGUGGGGUUUGGUUUUGUACUCCCCACUCCACCCCCACCCCAAUCCCCAUUAAAUAUAAAUAUGUUUUUAAUUCUUAUUUAAUAAUUUUUAUUUUAUCAAUUAUAAUGUCAAGUAAUAAUUUUUUUUUUUAAUUUUUAUGCAAUAUAAACAAGAUAUGAAUGAAAGAAAAUCCUAUAAUAUUUUUCAACUCUGAAAUAUUGUUAUAUUUUCUUUUCUCUUUUAAGGUGUUACGCUCUUUAAAUAUUUUUCACUUUUAAUAUCAUUUUAAGAUAUUGUUUCAAACUUUUAGAUAUUUUUUUAAAAGAAUUUAAAUAUUUUAUAAUAUGAUGAUGAUUUUAUUUUAAGUCUCUAAUUUUUAACUUACUAAAAUAAUGUAUUUAUACAUAUUAUAAAAUAGAUAAAUGGGGAAUGAGGUGUGGAUUCUCCAUCCCACCCCACUAAAUUUAUUAGGGAAUGGGGUGGGGAAUAGAUGCAAAAAUUUCUAACGAGGUGGGGAAUGGGGUAGGCCUCCCCACCCUCACCCCCACCCCAUUCCCAUCCCUAGGAACAAGAAGUCAGAACAUGCUUAAAAAAUGAAAAAUAAGAUAGAUUUUACCAAACAAAGAAGUACAAGAGAAAAGGGCAAUGAUUGAAGUUAGAGAUGGACAAGAAUUUCUCAAGGCAAAGGAAAUGGCUGCGAAAUAUUGUGCAACUGGUAGCACUCUUAAGAACUAAAGAAGCUCUUCGUUUGGUUUUGAAAUCAUAUUGUUUUUUGCACUUGGUUAUUUUUGUGUUUGUAACUUCAACGAUAAAUCAUUAAAUUUAUUUAUUUUUUCUUCUCUAAUGUUCUGUUGUUUUGUAAAUCUCAAUGGAAUUAUAAGAAAAAAAAUAUGUAAAGAAUGGAGUGUUUUGUGAUAGAAAUACUGUUUUAAUAUUUGAACGACUUGAAGCAAAUAUGAUUUGCUUAAUUGAAGUCCAGAAAUUAUUAAAUUCUUCACCAAUAUUUUUUUUAAGUUAAUGAGUAUGUAAUGUCAAGUAUUUGGUUAUUAUAGUUUUUUUAUUUUAUUUUAUCCGUGUACUGGGAGCAAAAUAUAUUUUAUUCUAUUAACAAACAACACCCUAGUGGUUGCUACGAGGGUGUUUUCGGUUUAGGGGUAUUUUGGUCAUUUUAUUGAUUUACUAACAGUCGUUAGAUGGAAAUACAAACGGCGGGGGAGAUAUUUAUAAUUACGGUCAUAUUUUAUAUUUAGAUGUUAAUACAUCAAAUCUCAUAGGAGGUCCCUAAAAAUUAUCCUGCUCCGAUAAUUCAGUUUUCACCUCCUCGAGGUUGAUAAAUGCUAAAUGCUAAAUUGACUAAAUGUCUAAAUCAAAAAGGUUAAUUUUAAAUUACCACCCUUCUAAAUUAAUUAUUUUCAAAUCAUCCCUCCUCAAAAAAAUUUCAUCAGCCCACUUCAAUUUUUACCUUACCUUUUGAAUGAAAAUGAGACUUAGAGAGUAAUUCAAGAUUUUUAAAAAUAAGGAGCUGAUUUUAAGAUAAUCAUCAGAAAUUUACCCAAAUCAAAAUUACAUAGUCAUACGUUUGACAUUAAUGUGUUUACAAUUUAGGAUGGUGUAAAAUUCUUGCAAGUUUGUCGGUUAUGACCAAUUAAACUACAUCUCCCACACUUUCGAAUGCCCCGUUCUCCAUCAGGCCGCUGCAAGACAGUUUGCUUCUUUCGAUUUUUGGCCGGCGGCUGUGUACAAAUGUGAAUGUUCGAAAAUCUCCUUAUCUCAAAAUACUCGUCCUCUGCCGUCUUUGUUGCUCGUAGUCGCCAUUUACAGUUUGUAUCCGCGCAUACAACUUCAAAUCGAUCUUUAGUUGACUUUGACACUUUGAAAGCAAAAUUCUUCUUCGCUGCUCCAAGCUUCAACUUUUUUAUCAAAUCCUUUUUACUCGUGAAUGUUUUCCCACACACAAUAUCUUCAUAAGAAUGGAAAGGAUUGACGGCCGCAGAUCUGGUGUUGGAGCGCCGGAUUGGCAACUUAUCCCCACAAUCAUCUUGGGACAAGUCAAGGCGUUGAAUAUCAUCUUGUUGCUCACUAACCUCAAUAUUGGCAGCUAGUAUUCCAUCACCACAGCCUAAAGGUGCUUCAGUUCCGAAAUUGGCAGCAACUGGAUCAUCAUUGAAUGCAUUUAGAUUUUGUUCCUCAACUUCAGUAGCUUGCAUUCCUGGCACAACUACAGAUAUUUGAUUGCUUUCACUUCGAGAGGCAGCUGGAGUCUGAUGAUCUAAGGCCGCAUGGUAUCCUUCUGUUUCUUGACACUGUGAUCCCUUGCGUUCAAUAGUGAUGCAUAUUGGACUUCUCAACUCUGUGGGAUGUGCAGCAUUUUCUUGUAUAAAGAAUCUCACAUCAUCGUCAUCGACUAUCUCUACAGGCAUGGUGGGUAUAUUUGCUUUAUAUAAGGACUUCAUUGUAAUAACAUAUUCAUUUGUAUCUACCUUGACAAUGCCAUACAACCUAUCCACGAGCUCCUUGUAAGUAAUAUCAUCUGAAACUAUGAUACCUUUCGUUUGACCACCACUGUAAAGAUAAUAACCACUCGGAGAACAAAACCAUUUGCCAUCAUACAUAACCAACACUCUCACUUGAGACAUUUUCCUGAGAAAUAAGACAUGGAUGACACUGAGUAAAGAAAACUAUACCACAAAAGAUUACAAAACAUAACAGUAAACAAAAUUAAUUUUUAAAAAUAUGGUUUGCCUAAUUAAAUAGAUUAAAUAGAGAUAUCCAAAUAAGCAAAUCAACUAGGAAUUUGUCAUUAGAAACACAUGUUGACUUUCACUCUAUCUGUUCAAUAGAAAGUUGAUUAUCUUUGCCAAUUGCUAAUGCUGUUUUUUCACCAACAUAUAUCCAAAAUAUCUGUAUGAUGAGCUGAUGACGUUUCCUCAACAAUAUCACGAAAAUUUGAAAAGAAAGUUAUUCACAUGCAACAAGAAAAAAAGAGAAAACACUUGAGUGGCAGGGCCUUUCAACAAAUCUAAAGGUUGUCUCACCUCUGUAGCUAAAAGAAAUGACCAAGAAUGGUAGCUUGUGAUAGCACUUGAAUUUGAAAUGUUCAAGCUGAAUUACUCUUGUUUUCACUCAUUUCAGUUGUUUGCAACAGUUUGGUUUAAUUUAGCGUAUGAGGAAGAUCAUUUUUGGAGACAUUGAUGUCCCAGAAGGAAGUUAGUUUUCACCGUCAAGGCAAAACUUUCUUAUUUCUUCCAUUUCUUUCUUUCAACUUGUAACAAGAUAGCUACACAAAAUAAGUACAAUGACAGUGACUCAAUCACUCACAUUGCAUUAGGAAAAUUUAACAUAAAGGCAGAGGUUUCCAAUGCAAAUAAAUGCACAAAAGGGAUGCCAAAUGGCAAAUCCACGACUCAGUUAGCUUGAAAACUUUGAUCCAUGUUUUUUCUCAACCAUCAAAACAUAAAUGUAGCAAAUUUUUCCCCUCUCAAACUUGAAAUACUAAAUCCUACUUAAAGUAUAUAACCUCAUAGCCUUUUCCACCUCAUAAACACCAAUGCAAAUGCUUUUACUAAACAAAUAUUUGACUGUAAUUAGCAGUAUAACACCAAUUCAAUAAAUAAAUAAAAAUUUACUUAACACGCAUAAAGAUUUGUUUGUACAUUCUGGCAUUCAGCGGGAAAAAUCACAUCUUACACUAUUUUGGGGUCUAAAAAUGAAAUCUAAUUCAAUUCAAAUUAUUCAUAACCCGCAAAAAUAAAAAUUGAAAAAUGGAAAAAUUACCUGGGACGAUCGGUUUUAAGCGCAGAAUGUAAAAUUCCUCGAUGCGGUUCCACUAGACUUUCGUUAUUCACAUUUGAUUGUUUCGCUUAGGGUUUCAGUUGCUGAACCGAACCGAGUCGAGUCGACGAUUUGAGCCCUUUGGAACAGCUGGACCGGCAAUUUCUCGACUGGACCUUGGUUUUGGGCCGUAGUUUUUCAAUCGUUAGCUUAACUUGUUGAAAAUUGGGUCGGGUUUUGAAACGACUAAUGUUGAUUGUUUAAAAAGAGCAUGCGUGGGUCCCACGUAUAUGACAACAUAAAUUUAUGACACUUGAAAAUAUUAUUUAUGCAUCGAAUUUAUUUCAUGAAACCUAUGAUAUUAUUAUUGUAACACGCUAGUCUUACAUUUUUAUGAUUUCUCUACUAUUAAAAAAAUAUAUUCAGGAUCAAUUCAAUAAUAUUUUUUCUUUUAAAAUAAUUCUUAUUAGCUAUAUUAUAGAAAUAAUCAGUUAUGAAAAGAAUCAGUUAAACGUUUCAUAAUUUUUUUUUUUUAAAGUGUUAUAAGUGUUCAAAACAUUCCUAUUUAUUUAGUAAAUUUUACUACUAAACUACUGUAAAAAUAUAAAUAAAUAAAUUAGAUAAUGUUGCAUAAAUUUUAUUUAAACAUUUAUAAACAAGUAUAUAAAAUAUUUUUUUAUUGUAUGCAUAUAAUAAUUGAUAUUUAAAUAAAUAUUUUAUAUUAUUAAUUUUAUUUUUAUUUCAUCUCAAUAUAAUUGAUAAGAAUAAAAAAUUAUUUAAAGUUAAUAACUUUUUUUUAAGUUAUUAAGAAUAAUUUUAGAUUUUAUAAUAUAUAUGAAUAUAUAUAUAUAUAUAUAUAUAUAUAUAUAUAUAGGGAAUUAUAUUAAAUAUAAAAUUGAUUCUCAAAAUUAGAUUUUAAAAAGUUGUUUCUUUCUUAUUUUUCAAGAUAUAUUGUAGGAUGUGUGAUUUUGCCAAAAGUGAUUUCUAAAAAAAAUUUACCAAACAAUAAAAUUAAUUUUUAAUUUUUCAAAAUCACUUUUGUUCCUUCAAAAAACAAUCCAGAAUAGGCUCUCAGAAAAAUAGAUUUAAGCUACUCUUACAUUUAUAUUUUCUCUAAAAGCUUGGCGGGUGGUUUUCAAAUCUCUUUAGUUAGUUGCCCAUCCCAAAUUCAAAAUGUGGAACUAUACCAAUAAAAAUUAAUUUGAACUUGCCCACUCGUCUUAUCUUUUUGAAAAAAUUCAUAGAAAAAAAUCAUAAUUAGAUAAUGCUAAUGCCCCGAAUUUAUUUCAUCAAAAAUGUUGUAUUUUCUUCCGCUCAUUUCUUUUUGAUCAUUCACAAAAAUAAGAGGCAUACAAAGCAUAAAUUAAAAGGAAAGGCAGCACUUGCCAAUCACCUUUCAAUUUCAACCAAAGCGUUAAGCGAGUGACUGUUUGCAAGAAAGAGAAGCGUACACGUUUUCCAAAAUAUAUGAAAAUGCAUGUUUUUUAAGUAUCAAUUUUUUUUUUUUUUUGGGAAAAACUUUUAAGUAACAAAUUGAAAGAAAAGUAAUAAAUAUUCUGAGAAAUUAAAUUAAAUUCGAUACUUCAAGUAUAAUAUUAAAAUGGCCACUCCACCUUGCUUAAUGGUGGUAUGCUAUUUUCACAUUAGUUUGAGUUUUCAUUUGAAAAUAGAGAUUUAAAUUUUCUCUCUCAAUUAAAAUAAUCAAAUCGACGCAUUCAUCUCUCUUAUGAAAUGAGAAUAGAAUUAAGAUCUCUCAAAUAUUAGUGAGAAUAAAAAUUUAAAUUGUAAUUUAUAAAACUAACGUAGAAUAGUUAAGAAUUAUUUAAUCAUAAAUAUCAAUAGUUAUUUGAUUGUAAUAUCAAAAAUUAAAUGUAUAAGAAAAUGGACACCAUUUGGAAAUCGAAGUGACUUUUUCUUCGAAUUUGGAAAACAUUUUAAUGGUCACGAGCCAAAUAGUAAAAUUAGACAACGUUUUCAUGUGAGCUAAAAGCUUACAAGUGUGCAUUAUAUGUCUAGAGAUCUGACAAGAGAUAGAGGAAACAAUGCGAAAGCUUCCAAGUGAUUGCUGUCUUUUUAAUUUUAAUUUUUGCUUUUGUUUUGUUCUUUUGUUCUUUUUUUGUUCUUUUUUCUUUUUCUAAAUAAAGUCUCCAAAAGCCAAGACUUCUCCACCUACGAAACUCUUAAAAAUAAUAGAGAAAAUCUCUCCUACAAAUAGUUAAAACAAAGUAGGAGAAACCUAUUAUAAAAGAAAAUAAAACUUCCACAAAAAACUCUAAUAAAGUAGGGAUAAAACUCUUAUAGAAAAGGGGAGACAAAAUUCUAAAAAAAAGAGAAAAAAAAAAACCAUUUGAUUAUUUACAUGAAGAGAAGAGAAGAGAAGAUUGAUGGUGUUACGAUCUCGUAUCAAUUAAGUAUGGUAUUAGUUGAUAAUUUUGUUAAUCUAAGGCACUCUUCUUUUAGAAGUCGGGUCCUAAGCAUAUAUUUUUUACCUUGUGGAAUUGUAACAACUAAUUUCGAAAUAUUUUAAUCCCCUAAAGUUAGCCCUCACCACAUUGAUCCUGCCCUUGUAACCUUAGCGUGUCUGAACUACUGUGAAGAUCUAUAUGAGUUAGAAACAAGCCAUGCUAUUUUCGUUUAUCUGAAAUGAUCGGUUCUAAUCAAAUUUCAAAAAUUAUGAGUCUGUUAAUUGAAAUGGUUAAUUAUAAACUUGCCCCCACGUAUAGAGGAAGUAGCUUGUAGUAUGUAUGUACAUGUACGUAGUUAUCAAAUGAAUGUCUUGGGCUUUUUAUAAUAAUCAACUUCUAAUAUCAUUAAAAGGAGAGUAUCUUCGCGUGUAAUUGAAUACUUGCAAAUUCAUUCUAAAAAAAAAAAAAUGCAAAGUUAUUAUGAAUUCCGUUAAUAAUUUUCAGUAACUCCAUUUAUGUUUGUUGGGAGAAUUUAUUGAAUUUCUAGUUGGAGGCCACACAUAUGAGAAGUCAAUAUUACAUUGAUAAGCAAUAAAUGAAAGAAAACGAAAGGCAUGUAUGUCGCCUAAAUGUGACAUCCAUGGGCAAAUAAUGAUCUCAUUGGUUUUGAGAUUAGGCACCUAGUAGGCUUGGUAAAACCUCGGUUCGGUCUGGGUUUGGUGCAACUCGGGACCGGACCGGAUGAUAAAAAUUGAUGUUCAGACUUGGAUAAAAUCCGAUUUUUGCAUGUGCGGUUUGGGUUUGAGCCCGGCAUGUCCUGGAUCUGGGUUUUUUAAUCCAGGCUUCUAAGCCCGCAAACACUUCUUUCAAUUUUUUCUUUCAUUUUUAUCACCUAAAUAUCAACAAACAACAAUACAACAUGCAUUCCUUGAUUAGUGUGGAAACGGAAAAGUGAAGUAGAAGCUUUCAUUCCUUGAUUCUAAAAUAUAAUUAUAAGAUUACAACAUUAAACAAUAACAGAGUAUCUGAACACAACAGCCUAAGUAAUUUCAAGUAGGUCUCUGUGUAACUGUGUUCUGACUGUAAGUCUGUAACAAAAUAAAAAUGAAGAAUUGGAAAAAUAAAGUGGCACGACAAUAUGGCAAAUAGGCAAUAUGGCAUGUCUAAAAUCUAAAUGAGUCAAAUUAAUGGAAUUAUGGGCAUGCCCAGAAAAGAGAGACAGAGAGUAUUGAUUUUGUGUGUGUGUGUGUGUGUGUGUUAUUAUUAUUAUUAUUAUAUAGAAUACAAAAGGUAAAGCAAUUAAGCAAAAGAGAAGCAAAAUGAUGUAAACUGUAAAGAUUAUGAAUCGGAAAAAAAUGCAACUGGGAAGGCAAAAUUUUGAAGAAAAUAAAUCAAUACCUAGGGCUGGUAGUGGUGGCUGUGAUGGCAGAGUGAUGGACUGAUGGUGGAUGAGAAAGUGGCAAUGGAGAGUUGGAGACGGUGGCACUGACGCUGACGGUGCCGGAGGGGGCUGCACGAGCCACGAACGACUCACGUCACAGCCGAAUUGGAAAUGGAGCAACUGAGCAAAACUGAGUCAGCAAACGAGAAGAGAUGAUGUUGAGGGGCGACGGUGAUGGACUGAAGGUGGGUAGCCUGUGGCAGUGUUGCUGCUUAUGCCUUUGGGUUUGGGUAACUGGGGAAUUAGGGAUUUUCGGAUUUGGGCAUUUGCGUUUUGCGGGUUUUGAUUUUUUGGUUUUAUAUAUAUAUAUAUAUAUUUAAAUUUAUUAAAAAAUUGGGUCUGGGUUCCAGGUUUUUGGUGCUGAACCCGGGACCGUGCCCGGAAAUAUCCGGGUUUGAAAUUCUGAAAUCUGGAUCCGCUUUUUCAGUAUAUGCGGUCUGGAUUUUGCCCGGACUGGAUUGGUCGGAUCCGGUCCGGGCGGGUUUUUUUGACACCCCUAGCACCUAGUAACUUACUUGAGUGAUUUUUAAAUAAUUUUUUUAUUAACUAUUUGAAUUUGAAUUUUGGGAUAUGUAUGGACUAAACAACCAGUUCAUGUUUUUUUUUUUUCUAAAAAAUUUAAAAACCUUAUAGAUAGCUUGAAAUAAGUUAUUUAAUCACAUGUGAAGAUAUGUGUUGAGUGUUAGAAAAUGCAUAUUUAUAAAGGAGAAAACCGUCAUUUUACAUUUCAAGUCUUACUAACAACUCUUACUUUUAUGUAUUUAACCUUCUUGUGAUGUAAUUACGUGUGUGUUAUUUUAAUUAAGUAUUUUAUGUAUUUUAGGGGCAUUAUAGUCAUUUCACAAUAAAGGAGAGAUCAGACAGCAAAACGGACAUCACUUUUGAACUCAGGACGGUCGAAAACCUUAGGAGGAGCAUAAAAGGAAAAAUGGCACUAUUCACAUGUACGGUACUAUUCACGUAUACGGUACUGUCUACGUUACUGUUCACGACACUGUUCACAUAGACGGAUCGAUGACGUGGCAUUGACCGAUGAUGUGGCAUUGACUGAUGAGGUGUCACGAUCUUGUUGGGCUAAAAUUCUUAUGUACUGUUAAUGGUGACGUGGCAGCAUAUCAGUGGACGAAAAAAUCUCGUGUACGGUGCAUGCAUCACACAGGAUUAUUUUCAACCAAACCGCGUUACUGUUCAUCCGGGUCAAACCGCGUUACUGUUCAAAGUCGGGUCAAACCGUGUUACUGUUCAUCCGCGUGGUCAAACCGUGGACUGUUGACUGAUGACGUGGCGCAAUCCUGAGCGUCCAAACUGUUUUUAAUCCGAUGGCCAUGAUUUACUCCAUGUAUCUAUAAAAAGGGGGCCUCCCCCCCUAAUUUGAUAUCCCUGAAUCCAUUUUUGGACUCCAUUUUCUGUAAUUCCCUCUCCAUCUUGUAUUUUCUUUGUAUUUUAAUAAAUUUCCAUUUUGCCCCUAGUUCAAUUAUGAGUGGCUAAUUUUCUUUCAAGCUUGGGUUGAAGGUGAAGUCUCAACAUGUGUCAUGGGCUUUAUUUGGUAAAUUUAUUUUCUUUUCCCCUCUAGUUUUUGUGGAUGAUUUGACUUAUCGUCGACAAAUAAUACUGAUCUUGUCUAGAUACCGCCUUGGUUACACCGGCUCUCUAGUAUAAGGUUAUUAUUAUUUGGCACGAUAAGCCCUUAGCACCAUAUUGAUUAGAGCGUGGUUCAUGAGGUGUGGAUUCCCCCCUCAUGAUUUAAUUGGCAUUAAUACGGAUUAUUUAGCCCAUGAUGCAUGUUGAUACGGAUCCAGAUACCCAAGUACGUCAAUUUAAUCGAUUUUCUCUACAAUUUAUUCUCGCCAUUGCAAUUCCAAUUUUAGCAUAUUUUAAAUCACUUCCACCACAAUUCCAACCACCCAUUUUGCAAAAUUAAUUCUAUACACAAUUAAAAUCCACCUCCUCGUGGGAUCGACACUCGUCACCAUUGAUCUACACUACAAUAGAUUCGUGCGCUUGCGAGUUCAUUAAAAUUUGCACAACAAGUUUUUGGCGCCGUUGCCGGGGAGGUAAGUAAUUUUAAUUCAUAGAAUUAAUUUUUGUGGAUAAUUUCUUUUAUUUGUUUUCUUGUAUUUUUUUUUAUUAAAAAAAGAAAGAAAAAAAAGUAAAUCUACAUUUAGAGGUUAGUAUUUCUUUUCUUUUUCUCUUCUUUAAAAUUCUGUAAUUUAAUUUUCAAUUUAUUUUUUUUUUUUUUUCUUUCUUUGUAAUUUUUUGUUUAUUUUAUUAAUUUAAUUUUUAGUUAAUUUAUUUCACGUAUUUAUUUUUGUGUAUUUUUAUAGAAAGGUUGUAAUAGCGCAAUAAGGUUAGUAUCGUAAUUUCUCCCUCUUAUUUAUUUUUAUUUGUUUUGUUCUCAUCUUUAUUUUUUAUUUGUUUUGUUUGCAUCUUUAUUUUUAUUUUAUUUAUUUUGCAUGCAUGGUCGUAGGUCAUUAUUACCUAAUCUUGAACCUAUAGACCUUGAAUUAGAAAAAACACUUCGCACACACAAGAACGAUAAAAAUAAAUUUGGAAUGGAUUUACAAGCACCACAGGAGAGGCCAUUUAAGGACUACUUCAGUCCUUUAGCUAAUUUAAGCACAUCAUGCAUAAGAUACCCAAAUGUAGCUGCUAGGAGUUUUGAAUUAAAACCUAGUGUGUUAAAUUGUCUCCCCACAUUUUAUGGCUAGAAAAUGAGGACCCAUAUAAUCAUCUGAAUGAUUUUCAUGCCAUUUGUCAAACUUUUAAAUAUGAAAAUUUUUCAGACGAUGAUGUUAAACUUAGAUUAUUCCCAUUUUCUUUAAAGGAUAGAGCUCGUUCAUGGUUAAAUACAUUGCCUGCUAAUAGCAUUGCAUCAUGGGAACAAAUGGUUACAAAAUUUCUAAAUAAAUAUUUCCCAGUGCAUAAAACCAAUGCUAUUCGCAGGGAAAUUUCAGAGUUUACACAAAGAGAAGACGAGCAGUUUUUGAAACUUGGGAGCGAUUCAAUGGGCUACUCUUGAAGUGUCCACAUCAUGGGUACGAGAAAUGGCACCAAUGCCAAUACUUUUUGGAGGGAUUAUUGCCGAAUGUGCAAGAAUGGCUAAUGGCAACAAGUGGAGGAGAGCUAAUGUCAAAAAGUGCAUCAGAGAUUUGGGAAUUCUUCCAGCGACAAGCGGAUAAUUCCCAACAACGGAGUCGAUCACUCAGGAAUACUAGAAGAAUUAAGGGAGUAAAUGAGGUUCAAAUUGGCGAGUCAACUUCGGAAAUCAGAGAAGUCAAGGAGAUGGUUGAAGGUCUUGCUCGACAAAUAGCAUCGUUAUCGACUGCUAAAUCAACAGAAUCACAUGACCAUGACUCAUACUCAGAUCAAGCCAAUGCCAUAGGUGUAAUGAGAAAACCAUCGAAUUACAACCCAUACUCCAACACAUAUAAUCCUGGAUGGAGAGAUCACCCCAAUUUUUCAUGGUCUCAAGGAUUCCAACAGAAUGGACCAGCAGCUCCAGCUCCACCAAUGCAACAAAUUCCUCAAAAUCCUCAAGCCUCUCAGCCACCAUUCAGACCAUACAAUCAGAACCAGAACUACUCUCAACCCAGACCAUGGGAGGAUUCAUUCCAGAAUUUUAAGAAUGCUACUCACUCUACGAUUGAGCAACAGAACCGCACCAUUGAUGGACUACGAAAUGAGUUGAGAGCAGGCUUCAACUCACAAGCUCAAUCAGUUUCAAGCCUCGAGAAGAUGGUGGGACAACUUGCUUCUUCAGUUCAGACCUUGGCAAUGACUGUUGAGAAAGGCAAAUUUCCAAGUCAACCAGUGCCUAAUCCUAAAGGAGUGCAUGAAGCAAGUACCAGUUCACCACAACAGCAUGGAGAGGUCAAAGCAGUCAUGACCUUGCGAAAAGGAAAGGAAGUCGACAAUAAAGUGGAGAUGCCGGUGACAAAAGAAAAUCAAAUUGUACCUGUAAAUGCUGAGGACUCACCACCGGAGGAAAAAGAAGAAACCAACCCACGAGAAUACGUUCCCAAAGCUCCAUUUCCUCAGAGGUUAGUGAAAGGAAAGAAGGGAAAAUCCACAGGUGAGAUUCUCGAAAUCUUCAAACAGGUAAGUGUUAACAUCCCUUUACUUGAUGCUAUAAAGCAAGUUCCAUCUUAUGCCAAGUUUCUUAAAGACCUUUGUACUAAAAAGAGAAAUAUGCAUGUUCAAAAGAAGGCAUUUUUAACAGAAAACGUUAGUUCUAUACUCCAACAUAAAAUUCCUUUAAAAUGCAAAGACCCAGGCUCCCCCACUAUCUCAUGUAGUAUAGGGAACCACACAAUUGAGAAUGCUUUGUUGGAUUUAGGAGCUAGUGUAAAUUUGUUGCCUUACUCUGUAUUCGUGAAACUUGGACUGGGAGAAUUACACCCAACUCCAGUGGUGUUACAACUUGCAGAUCGGUCCACAAAAAUACCUCGUGGUAUUGUGGAGGACGUGCUUAUCCAGGUAGACAAGUUUUAUUUUCCUGUUGAUUUCAUUGUAAUUGACACUCAACCAAUACAGGACUCAAGGAAGCACAUCCCCAUUAUUCUAGGCCGACCUUUCUUGGCAACUGCAGAUGCUCAUAUUCAAUGUAGGACUGGAAAUAUGCAAUUGUCCUUCGGCAACAUGACUAUGGAGCUAAACAUUUUCAACAUUGCCAAACAACCUCACAGUGCAGAUGAUGGAAUUGUUGAUGUGGAUUUAAUAGAAACAAUAGUUGAUAAUACUUUUCUUUCAAACCUUAGUGAUGAUCCUUUACAAACAUGUUUAACUCACUUUGGUUUGGAUUUUGAUAUUGACAGAUCGGUCGAUGAGGUCAACGCCCUACUUGACUCAGCACCAUCCAUGGACACUAAUAAAUGGAAGUCAAGAGUUGAACAACUAGCACCAUCAGAGAAGAAACUCAUCCCAUCAUCAGAAUCACCACCGAAACUCGAGCUCAAACCAUUACCCAACACUCUGGAAUAUGCAUUUUUGGGAGAAGAAAGUACUCUGCCGGUAAUCAUCUCAUCAUCCCUAAAUGACGAACAAAAAGGUAAGUUGUUGGAUGUGUUUAAAAGAGCACAAAGGAGCAUUAGGAUGGACCAUAGCAGACAUAAAAGGUAUAAACCCAGUAGACUGCAUGCAUUACAUUCACCUUGAUGAAAAUGCUAAAACUACUAGGGAGAUGCAACGUCGGUUAAAUCCUAAUAUGAAAGAAGUUGUUAGAACUGAAGUCCUUAAGCUAUUAGAUGCAGGUAUCAUUUACCCAAUUUCUGAUAGUUCAUGGGUCAGUCCUGUACAAGUUGUCCCCAAAAAGUCAGGAGUCACAGUAGUUACCAAUGCUGAUAAUGAAUUGAUACCAACUAGAGUAACUACAGGAUGGCGUGUAUGCAUUGAUUAUAGAAAGUUGAAUUCUGUCACACGUAAAGACCAUUUUCCUUUACCAUUUAUUGAUCAAAUGCUUGAUAGAUUAGCAGGCCAUGAAUUUUAUUGCUUUCUAGAUGGCUACUCAGGAUAUAAUCAGAUUCCCAUAGCACCAAAAGAUCAGGAGAAAACUACUUUCACUUGCCCUUUUGGCACUUUUGCAUAUAGGAGAAUGCCAUUUGGAUUAUGUAAUGCACCUGCUACAUUUCCAACGAUGCAUGUUGAGCAUUUUUUCUGAUAUGGUUGAACGAUUCCUUGAAGUCUUUAUGGAUGAUUUUUCUGUCUUUGGUGACUCGUUUGAUCAAUGUUUACAUCAUCUAACACUAGUUCUGCAGAGAUGUACGAGAAGACUUAGUCUUAAAUUGGGAGAAGUGCCAUUUUAUGGUAAAACAAGGUAUUGUUCUCGGUCACAUCAUUUCGAGCAAAGGUAUUGAGGUUGACAAAGCCAAGGUGGAUCUCAUUUCUAAUCUUCCUCCACCUAAAACAGUCAGAGAAGUAAGAUCUUUCCUUGGACAUGCUGGUUUCUAUAGACGUUUCAUUAAAGAUUUUAGCAAAGUUUCUAGACCCUUAUGCAAUUUACUUGCUAAGGAUGUACCUUUUAUCUUUAAUGAUUCAUGUCUUAUGGCUUUUGAAAAAUUAAAGCAGUUGUUGACAUCAUCACCCAUCAUUCAGGCCCCAAACUGGAGCUUACCAUUUGAGCUCAUGUGUGAUGCAUCUGAUUAUGCAGUAGGAGCAGUAUUAGGACAAAGAGUUGAUCGAAUUCCCCAUGUUAUUUACUAUGCUAGUAUGACAUUGAAUGAUGCACAGUUGAAUUAUUCAACUACUGAAAAAGAAAUGCUAGCAGUAGUGUUUGCAUUAGAGAAAUUUCGAUCUUAUCUCAUUGGUUGUAAAAUAAUUAUAUUCACAGAUCAUGCUGCUCUUAAAUAUCUUCUCACAAAGAAAGAUGCAAAAGCUAGACUAAUUCGUUGGGUGUUACUUUUGCAGGAAUUCGACUUGGAAUUCAAAGAUAAGAAAGGCACAGAAAAUGUUGUGGCGGACCAUCUCUCUCGUCUCCAUUUUGACACAAUUACAGAGCCAUUAACAUUAAAUGAGUCAUUUCCAGAUGAACAAUUAAUGAAUGUGGAAGUAUUACCUUGGUAUGCUGAUAUAGUUAAUUAUCUUGUUACAGGUAAACUUCCAGAGCAUUGGACCAAGCAAGACAAGGCUAAAUUCUUUGCGGAAAUAAAGAAUUUCUUUUGGGAUGACCCAUAUUUGUUCAAGUAUUGUGCAGACCAAAUUGUUAGACGAUGUGUCCCUGAAAGUGAAAUUCAGAAUAUUCUUUCAUUCUGCCAUGAACAAGCUUGUGGAGGCCAUUUCAGUGCUAAGAAAACAGCGACUAAAGUUUUACAAUGUGGUUUCUAUUGGCCAACUAUAUUUCGAGACGCUUACACUUUCUGUUCUUCAUGUGAUAGGUGUCAACGAAUGGGGAGCAUUACACGAAGGAACAUGAUGCCACUAAAUCCAAUUUUAGUGGUUGAGAUUUUUGACGUAUGGGGUAUCGACUUCAUGGGACCCUUUCCCCCUUCUUUUGGCCAUCAAUACAUAUUGGUUGGUGUUGACUACGUAUCGAAAUGGGUAGAAGCAAUUCCAUGUAGAACCAAUGAUCACAAAGUGGUGAUAGGAUUUUUGAAAAGCAACAUUGUUUCACGCUUUGGAUUCCCUCGAGCGAUAAUCAGUGAUGGUGGUGCCCACUUUUGUAACAAAGCAUUCAAAGCUCUUUUGACAAAGUAUUCAAUCACACACAAAGUGGCGACCCCGUAUCAUCCGCAAACCAGUGGCCAAGUUGAGAUCUCCAAUCGAGAAAUAAAGCACAUAUUAGAAAAGACGGUGAGGCCAGACAGAAAAGAUUGGUCAUUAAGACUUGAUGAUGCAUUAUGGGCAUAUAGAACGGCUUUCAAGACCCCGAUUGGGAUGUCACCCUACAGGCUAGUGUAUGGAAAAGCUUGCCACCUACCUGGAGUGAACGAUUUUCUCAUAAUUUGCUUGUCAUGGAAGACUUUCAUCGUUGCUUGUAAAUCUUGGCAUUUUCGUAUGCGUCAUUGCGAAUUUCUUCAAGUUCUGCCAGUUGUAAUUUUCUUUCUGAGCUAGCUUGCUGCAUGUCAAAGUUGAAUUUCUUGAUGGCCCAAUAUGCACAUGCUCAGUUCCACAGGUAGGUGGCAAGCUUUUCCAUACACUAGCCUGUAGGGUGACAUCCCAAUCGGGGUCUUGAAAGCCGUUCUAUAUGCCCAUAAUGCAUCAUCAAGUCUUAAUGACCAAUCUUUUCUGUCUGGCCUCACCGUCUUUUCUAAUAUGUGCUUUAUUUCUCGAUUGGAGAUCUCAACUUGGCCACUGGUUUGCGGAUGAUACGGGGUCGCCACUUUGUGUGUGAUUGAAUACUUUGUCAAAAGAGCUUGAAUGCUUUGUUACAAAAGUGGGCACCACCAUCACUGAUUAUCGCUCGAGGGAAUCCAAAGCGUGAAACAAUGUUGCUUUUCAAAAAUCCUAUCACCACUUUGUGAUCAUUGGUUCUACAUGGAAUUGCUUCUACCCAUUUCGAUACGUAGUCAACACCAACCAAUAUGUAUUGAUGGCCAAAAGAAGGGGGAAAGGGUCCCAUGAAGUCGAUACCCCAUACGUCAAAAAUCUCAACCACUAAAAUUGGAUUUAGUGGCAUCAUGUUCCUUCGUGUAAUGCUCCCAUUCGUUGACACCUAUCACAUGAAGAACAGAAAGUGUAAGCAUCUCGAAAUAUAGUUGGCCAAUAGAAACCACAUUGUAAAACUUUAGUAGCUGUUUUCUUAGCACUGAAAUGGCCUCCACAAGCUUGUUCAUGGCAGAAUGAAAGGAAUAUUCUGAAUUUCACUUUCUGGGACACAUCGUCUAACAAUUUGGUCUGCACAAUACUUGAACAAAUAUGGGUCAUCCCAAAAGAAAUUCUUUAUUUCCGCAAAGAAUUUAGCCUUGUCUUGCUUGGUCCAAUGCUCUGGAAGUUUACCUGUAACAAGAUAAUUAACUAUAUCAGCAUACCAAGGUAAUACUUCCACAUUCAUUAAUUGUUCAUCUGGAAAUGACUCAUUCAAUGUUAAUGGCUCUGUAAUUGUGUCAAAAUGGAGACGAGAGAGAUGGUCCGCCACAACAUUUUCUGUGCCUUUCUUAUCUUUGAAUUCCAAGUCGAAUUCCUGCAAAAGUAACACCCAACGAAUUAGUCUAGCUUUUGCAUCUUUCUUUGUGAGAAGAUAUUUAAGAGCAGCAUGAUCUGUGAAUAUAAUUAUUUUACAACCAAUGAGAUAAGAUCGAAAUUUCUCUAAUGCAAACACUACUGCUAGCAUUUCUUUUUCAGUAGUUGAAUAAUUCAACUGUGCAUCAUUCAAUGUCAUACUAGCAUAGUAAAUAACAUGGGGAAUUCGAUCAACUCUUUGUCCUAAUACUGCUCCUACUGCAUAAUCAGAUGCAUCACACAUGAGCUCAAAUGGUAAGCUCCAGUUUGGGGCCUGAAUGAUGGGUGAUGAUGUCAACAACUGCUUUAAUUUUUCAAAAGCCAUAAGACAUGAAUCAUUAAAGAUAAAAGGUACAUCCUUAGCAAGUAAAUUGCAUAAGGGUCUAGAAACUUUGCUAAAAUCUUUAAUGAAACGUCUAUAGAAACCAGCAUGCCAAGGAAAGAUCUUACUUCUCUGACUGUUUUAGGUGGAGGAAGAUUAGAAAUGAGAUCCACCUUGGCUUUGUCAACCUCAAUACCUUUGCUCGAAAUGAUGUGACCGAGAACAAUACCUUGUUUUACCAUAAAAUGCACUUCUCCCAAUUUAAGACUAAGUUCUUCUCGGUACAUCUCUGCAGAACUAGCGUUAGAUGAUGUAAACAUUGAUCAAACGAGUCACCAAAGACAGAAAAAUCAUCCAUAAAGACUUCAAGGAAUCGUUCAACCAUAUCAGAAAAAAUGCUCAACAUGCAUCGUUGGAAUGUAGCAGGUGCAUUACAUAAUCCAAAUGGCAUUCUCCUAUAUGCAAAAGUGCCAAAAGGGCAAGUGAAAGUAGUUUUCUCUUGAUCUUUUGGUGCUAUGGGAAUCUGAUUAUAUCCUGAGUAGCCAUCUAGAAAGCAAUAAAAUUCAUGGCCUGCUAAUCUAUCAAGCAUUUGAUCAAUAAAUGGUAAAGGAAAAUGGUCUUUACGUGUGACAGAAUUCAACUUUCUAUAAUCAAUGCAUACACGCCAUCCUGUAGUUACUCUAGUUGGUAUCAAUUCAUUAUCAGCAUUGGUAACUACUGUGACUCCUGACUUUUUGGGGACAACUUGUACAGGACUGACCCAUGAACUAUCAGAAAUUGGGUAAAUGAUACCUGCGUCUAAUAGCUUAAGGACUUCAGUUCUAACAACUUCUUUCAUAUUAGGAUUUAACCGACGUUGCAUUUCCCUAGUAGAUUUAGCAUUUUCAUCAAGGUGAAUGUAAUGCAUGCAGUCUACUGGGUUUAUACCUUUUAUGUCUGCUAUGGUCCAUCCUAAUGCUCCUUUGUGCUCUUUUAAAACAUCCAACAACUUACCUUUUUGUUCGUCAUUUAGGGAUGAUGAGAUGAUUACCGGCAGAGUACUUUCUUCUCCCAAAAAUGCAUAUUCCAAUGUGUUGGGUAAUGGUUUGAGCUCGAGUUUCGGUGGUGAUUCUGAUGAUGGGAUGAGUUUCUUCUCUGAUGGUGCUAGUUGUUCAACUCUUGACUUCCAUUUAUUAGUGUCCAUGGAUGGUGCUGAGUCAAGUAGGGCGUUGACCUCAUCGACCGAUCUGUCAAUAUCAAAAUCCAAACCAAAGUGAGUUAAACAUGUUUGUAAAGGAUCAUCACUAAGGUUUGAAAGAAAAGUAUUAUCAACUAUUGUUUCUAUUAAAUCCACAUCAACAAUUCCAUCAUCUGCACUGUGAGGUUGUUUGGCAAUGUUGAAAAUGUUUAGCUCCAUAGUCAUGUUGCCGAAGGACAACUGCAUAUUUCCGGUCCUGCAUUGAAUAUGAGCAUCUGCAGUUGCCAAGAAAGGUCGGCCUAGAAUAAUGGGGAUGUGCUUCCUUGAAUCCUGUAUUGGUUGAGUGUCAAUUACAAUGAAAUCAACAGGAAAAUAAAACUUGUCUACCUGGAUAAGCACGUCCUCCACAAUACCACGAGGUAUUUUCGUGGACCGAUCUGCAAGCUGUAACACCACUGGAGUUGGGUGUAAUUCUCCCAGUCCAAGUUUCACGAAUACAGAGUAAGGCAACAAAUUUACACUAGCUCCUAAAUCCAACAAAGCAUUCUCAAUUGUGUGGUUCCCUAUACUACAUGAGAUAGUGGGGGAGCCUGGGUCUUUGCAUUUUAAAGGAAUUUUAUGUUGGAGUAUAGAACUAACGUUUUCUGUUAAAAAUGCCUUCUUUUGAACAUGCAUAUUUCUCUUUUUAGUACAAAGGUCUUUAAGAAACUUGGCAUAAGAUGGAACUUGUUUAAUAGCAUCAAGUAAAGGGAUGUUAACACUUACCUGUUUGAAGAUUUCAAGAAUCUCACCUGUGGAUUUUCCCUUCUUUCCUUUCAGCUAACCUCUGAGGAAAUGGAGCUUUGGGAACGUAUUCUCGUGGGUUGGUUUCUUCUUUCUCCUCCGGUGGUGAGUCCUCAGCAUUUACAGGUACAAUUUGAUUUUCUUUUGUCACCGGCAUCUCCACUUUGUUGUCGACUUCCUUUCCUUUUCGCAAGGUCAUGACUGCUUUGACCUCUCCAUGCUGUUGUGGUGAACUGGUACUUGCUUCAUGUACUCCUUUAGGAUUAGGCACUGGUUGACUUGGAAAUUUGCCUUUCUCAACAGUCAUUGCCAAGGUCUGAACUGAAGAAGCAAGUUGUCCACCAUCUUCUCGAGGCUUGAAACUGAUUGGCUUGUGAGUUGAAGCCUGCUCUCAACUCAUUUCGUAGUCCAUCAAUGGUGCGGUUCUGUUGCUCAAUCGUGGAGUGAGUAACAUUCUUGAAAUUCUGGAAUGAAUCCUCCCAUGGUCUGGGUUGAGAGUAGUUCUGGUUCUGAUUGUAUGGUCUAAAUGGGGCUGAGAGGCUUGAGGAUUUUGAGGAAUUUGUUGCAUUGGUGGAGCUGGAGCUGCUGGUCCAUUCUGUUGGAAUCCUUGAGACCAUGAAAAAUUGGGGUGGUCUCUCCAUCCAGGGUUAUAUGUGUUGGAGUAUGGGUUGUAAUUAGAUGGCUUUCUCAUUACACCUAUGGCAUUGGCUUGAUCGGAUAUGAGUCAUGGUCAUGUGGUUCUGUUGAUUUAGCAGUCGAUAACGAUGCUAUUUGUCGAGCAAGACCUUCAACCAUCUCCUUGACUUCUUUGAUUCCCGAAGUUGACUCGCCAAUUUGAACCUCAUUUACUCCCUUAAUUCUUCUAGUAUUCCUGAGUGAUCGACUCCGUUGUUGGGAAUUAUCCGCUUGUCGCUGGAAGAAUUCCCAAAUCUCUGAUGCACUUUUUGACAUUAGCUCUCCUCCACUUGUUGCCAUUAGCCAUUCUUGCACAUUCGGCAUAAUCCCUCCAAAAAGUAUUGGCAUUGGUGCCAUUUCUCGUACCCAUGAUGUGGACACUUCAAGAGUAGCCCAUUGAAUCGCUCCCAAGUUUCGAAAAACUGCUCGUCUCUCUUUGUGUAAACUCUGAAAUUUCCCUGCGAAUAGAAUUGGUUUUAUGCACUGGGAAAUAUUUAUUUAGAAAUUUUGUAACCAUUUGUUCCCAUGAUGCAAUGCUAUUAGCAGGCAAAGUAUUUAACCAUGAACGAGCUCUAUCCUUUAAAAGAAAAUGGGAAUAAUCUAAGUUUAACAUCAUCGUCUGAAAAAUUUUCAUAUUUAAAAGUUUGACAAAUGGCAUGAAAAUCAUUCAGAUGAUUAUAUGGGUCCUCAUUUUCUAAGCCAUAGAAAUGUGGGAGACAAUUUAGCACACUAGGUUUUUAAGUUCAAAACUCCUAGGCAGCUACAUUUGGGUAUCUUAUGCAUGAUGUGCUCAAAUUAGCUAAAGGGACUAAAAUAGUCCUUAAAUGGCCUCUCCUGUGGUGCUUGUAAAUCCAUUCCAAAUUUAUUUUUAAUGUGCUUUGUGUGUGCGAAGUUGUUUUUUCAAUUCAAGGUCUAUAGGUUCAAGAUUAGGUAAUAAUGACCUACGACCAUGCAUGCAAAAUAAAUAAAAUAAAAAUAAAGAUGGCAAAACAAAAUAAAGAUGGAACAAAUAAAAAAUAAAGAUGAGAAAAACAAAUAAAAAUAAAGAAGAGGGAGAAAUUACGAUACUAACCUUAUUACGCUGUUACAACCUUUCUAUAAAAAUACACAAAAACAAAUACGUGAAAUAAAUUAACUAAAAAUUAAAUUAAUAAAAUAAACAAAAAAUUACAAAGAAGAAAAAAAAUAAAUUGAAAAUUAAAUUACAGAAUUUUAAAAGAAGAGAAAAAGAAAAGAAAUACUAACCUUUAAAUGUAGAUUUACUUUUUUUUUUUUUUUUUUAAUAAAAAAUACAAGAAAACAAAUAAAAGAAAUUAUUCACAAAAAUUAAUUCUAUGAAUUAAAAUUACUUACCUCCCCGGCAACGGCGCCAAAAACUUGUUGUGCAAAUUUUAAUGUACUCGCAAGCGCACGAAUCUAUUGUAGUGUAGAUCAAUGGUGAACGAGUGUCGAUCCCACGAGGAGGUGGAUUUUAAUUGUGUAUAGAAUUAAUUUUGCAAAUGGGUGGUUGGAAUUGUGUGGAAGUGAUUAAUUAUCUAAAAUUGGAAUUGAAAUGCGAUAAUAACUAAAAUUGGAAUUGCAAUGGCAGAGAAUAAAUUGAAGAGAAAUCUAUUGAAAUUGACGUACUUGGGUAUCUGGAUCCGUAUCAACAUGCAUCAUGGGCUAAAUAAUCCGUAUUAAUGCCAAUUAAAUCAUGAGGGGGGAAUCCACACCUCAUGAACCACGCUCUAAUCAAUAUGGUGCUAAGGGCUUAUCGUGCCAAAUAAUAAUAACCUCUAUACUAGAGAGCCGGUGUAACCAAGGCGGUAUCUAGACAAGAUCAGUAUUAUUUGUCGACGAUAAGUCAAAACAUCCACAAAAACUAGAGGGAAAAGAAAAUAAAUUUACCAAAUAAAGCCCAUGACACAUGUUGAGACUUCACCUUCAACCCAAGCUUGAAAGAAAAUUAGCACUCAUAAUUGAACUAGGGGCAAAAUGGGAAUUUAUUAAAAUACAAAGAAAAUACAAGAUGGAGAGGGAAUUACAGAAAAUGGAUCCCAAAAAUGAUUCAGAGAUAUCAAAUUAGGGGGGAGGCCCCCUUUUUAUAGAUACAUGGAGUAAAUUCAUGGCCAUCGGAUUAAAAACAGUUUGACGCUCAGGAUUGCGCCACGUCAUCAGUCAACAGUCCACGCGUUUGACCACGCGGAUGAACAGUAACACGGUUUACCCGAUGAACAGUAACGCGGUUAUGGUUUUGAAAAUAAUCCUGUGUGAUGCAUGCACCGUACGCGAGAUUUUUCGUCCACUGAUAUGCUGCCACGUCACCAUCAACAGUACAUAAGAAUUUUAGCCAACAGGAUCGUGACACCUCAUCAGUCAAUGCCACAUCAUCGGUCAAUGCCACGUCAUCGAUCCGUCUAUGUGAACAGUGUUGUGAACCAGUAACGUAGACAGUACCGUAUACGUGAAUAGUACCGUACAUGUGAAUAAGUGCCAUUUUUCCUUUUAUGCUCCCUCCUAAGGGUUUAUCGACCGUCCUGAGUUCAAAAGUGAUGUCCGUUUUUGCCGUCUGAUCUCUCCUUUAUUGUGAAAUGACUAUAAUGCCCUCUAAAAUACAUAAAAUACUUAAUUAAAAUAAAACACAUGUAAUUAAAUUCAAAAGAAGGUUAAAUACAUAAAAGUAAGGUUGUUAGUAAGAACUUGAAAUGUAAAAUGACGAUUUUCUCCUUUAUAAAAUAUGCAUUUUCUAACACUCAACAGCAGCUACUCCCAAUAGACAAUUCAAGAACAUUUGUGUGCUUUCUGGAUUUACCUAUGGCAAACAUAAAGAGUUUGUUGAGGCAGCCAUAGAGUGGUCGAAGCAUAGCAGCGAGAAAAUUACAUUUGGUGUAUGGAGGAGAGGUAACCGAGGGUUAUCAAAAAUGGUCAGAAGCAGCUUUUAUCAGAGGAAGUCAAGUGUUAGGCAUCAUCCCAAGAGUCUUAAAACCAUUGGGCAGUUCGUCUGACUCAUCCACUGGAGAAGAGUUAGUCGUCUCAGGUAUGCAAGAAAGAAUAACUGAAAUGCUUAAUCAUGCUGAUGCUUUUAUUUUCCUUCCAGGAGAUCUUGCAACACUAGAGGCACUUAUCACACUAGCAUCUUGGGCCCAUCUGUACAUCCACCAGAAACCCAUCGGUUUGUUAAAUGUCAAUAACUUUUAUGAUGGCUUUAUCGCAUUUCUUAACCAUGCAAUAAAAAACUAUUUCAUUCCUUCUAAUGUGAAAAAACUUUUUAUUUGUGCUCACAUUGCUAAUGAGCUGCUUGAUCUAUUACAAGCUUAUAAACCGGAGCCAGACCCCUGGACCCUUGUGUUAGAGUGACCAAAUAAUGAUGGUAACAGUAGCCGCAGUAAAAAGUACAAAUUAGAUUUAACUCUCCGCCUGUAAAUAUUUUCUUCUGUGUUGCACCACCCAGGUGAUGUCUUCUAAACUCUAUUUCUUUCCUUUAAAACAUUGAGGACAAUGUUUCGUUCUGGUUGGGGGGAGGGAAUAGUCGACAAUUGUGGAAUCUUGGUUAAGUUUUUACUAAUUUUUUUUGUAGAAACUAACUGUUGCUAACGUUUUGUGUUGAAGAUGGCUAAAUAUGGAGUGUAGUUACUCUAGAAAUGCAUCUUCAUCGUUUUAAAAAAAAAAAACCCGUUUUCUUCCUCUUUCUCCUUUAUAAAUAUAUAUUUUUCAAAUUUUUGAGUUGAAGAUGGCUGAAUAUGGAGUGUAGUGCCUCUAGAAACACAUCUUCUUAGUUAAAAAAAAAAUUUAUUUUUCUAAUUAAUUUUUCUACAUCAUUUUCACAUUUCUGCAUGCAUAUUUUCCUUUCAUGUUUAGAAUAGGUUGGGGGGUAGAAUGUUGUUUAAAAAAAAAAUUGUGUUAUUUUUGUUUUAACAUUUGAUGACAUGAUUAAUUUCAAAUUUUAGUAUUUGUAUUAUCUUUGGUCUUAAGUGAUGUUACGCUAUGUUUGCUACUUUACAUGUUGAUGUCGGAGACAAAUAUGAGUUGCUUGAAGGAAUGAACAUGUCAUAAAUAAGUGCCAAGUGAGUUGUUGAGCCUAUCAUUUUCUUGAAGACUAACCAUUUUGCCCAUUCUCUAUACAGCUUAGCAGUUUAUUAUUUUAUACACGAUCUUUAGAUUUCUUUUGAGUUAACCCUUAAAAAAAAUGGUAAAAUUAGAAAAAAAAAAAAAUGUGUGUUGCUACAUUGGGAGACCCGUCUAACUAGUAGAUACGGAUGAUUAUUUAGAGCCCUAAAAUAUGAUGGAAAGGUCAUCUUUGAUCCGUUUGAGCCUUUCUAGCCAUCCCUUUUAUUAAAUAUCCAUAGUUAACCCUUUUGAGCCUUUAAAAAAAAAAAAAAAAACCUUUUCUUUGUCAACUUAUCAUCUUGACCCACUCCGAUUUAGAGUAUUACCCGAUGUCUUAUAAGUUCCAUCACCUAUUUAUGUUUGAGAAAAUGUAAAUAAUUAUGUUGUUCAGUGAGGUUAUGCCAAAUAAAAGCAACAAAAAAAAAAACAAACAAAAGUUGUUGUUUCAAAAGAAUAAAAAUAACAAUAAUAGGUGAAAUCCACCUUACAAAUUCCAAAAAAAAAAACAAAUUCUCUGUAUUUUUCUUAAACAUACACUUUGUUUCCUUAUUUCCUUUCUUUGUUAGCCAUGUCCCUAGCCUACGUUACGUCCUAAUAAAAGUCCUUCUUGAUUUUAGGGAACUAUAGUUUGAAGUAAAAGCUAGUUAUAUGGGCUAAAAAGAUAUAGUGAUGCAUAAUAAUAAAAGAAAAAGAGAUAAAUAAAAUGGGUUGACUAGCAUUUUUGUUUGACUUGAGAUCGUAUUAUUUCUAAGCUGAGGGCAUAUUUCUUUCAUCUUGGUGAGAGCAUGUGAUAUCACUUCUUUAUUAUUUUCUCUCAAUUACCAUUCAUUAGAGUGACUAUUUUUAUUGGGUUUAAUUUCUUUGUGAGAGUAUCACUACUUCCAGUGAGAUUUUGGGGUUUGACAUGUCAUUCUUGAAAGUAGCUAUAACAAAGUCUAUUGGGUUGAUCAUGUGGAUGGUUGAUGUGGGUGUGAUGUUUCUUUAGACUGGAGAUAAUGCUUAUACUUUUAUUUGAUUGCUAUCAUUAAUCUGAUUGAAUAAACACGAGUGUUUCUAUUAAAAAAAAAAUCAUUUUGGAUUUGAAUUUCGUUUUCGCUUUAUUUGCUAGGGACUAGCAAUAAGCUGGUUGGGGGGUGUGUUGAGUGUUAGAAAAUGUAUAUUUAUAAAGGAGAAAAUCAUCAUUUUACAUUUCAAGUUUUACUAACAACCCUUACUUUUAUGUAUUUAAGCUUCUUGCAAUUUAAUUAUGUGUGUUUGAUUUUAAUUAAGUAUUUUAUGUAUUUUAGGGGCAUCAUGGUCAUUUCAUAAUAAACGAGAGAUCAGAUGGCAAAAUGGACAUCACUUUUGAACUUAGGAUGGUCGAAAACCUUAGGAGGAGCAUAAAAGGAAAAAUGACACUAUUCACAUGUACGGUACUAUUCACGUGUACGGUACUGUCUAUGUUACUGUUCAUGACACUGUUCACAUAGACGGAUCGAUGAUGUGGCAUUGACCGAUGAGGUGUCACGAUCCUAUUGGGCUAAAAUUCUUAUGUACUGUUGAUGGUGACGUGGGAGCAUAUCAGUGGACGAAAAUCUCGCGUACGGUACAUGCAUCACACAGGAUUAUUUUCAACCAAACCGUGUCACUGUUCACCCGGGUCAAACCGUUAUGUUCAUCCAUGUGGUCAAACCACGUACUAUUGACUGAUGACGUGGCGCAAUCCUGAGCGUCCAAACUGUUUUUAAUCCGAUGGCCAUGAUUUACUUCAUGUAUCUACAAAAAGGGGGCUUUCCCCCCCCCCUAAUUUGAUAUCUCUGAAUCCAUUUUUGGACUCCAUUUUCUGUAAUUCCUUCUCCAUCUUGUUUUCUACGUAUUUUAAUAAAUUCCCAUUUUGCCCCUAGUUCAAUUAUGAGUAGCUAAUUUUCUUUCAAGCUUGGGUUGAAGGUGAAGUCUCAACAUGUGUCAUGAGCUUUAUUUGGUAAAUUUACUUUCUAUUCCCCUCUAAUUUUUGUGGAUGUUUUGACUUCUCGUCGACAAAUAAUACUAAUCUUGUCUAGUACCACCUUGGUUUCACCAGCCCCCUAGUACAAGGUUAUUAUUAUUUGGCACGAUAAGCCCUUAGCACCAUAUUGAUUAGAGUGUGGUUCAUGAGGUGUGGAUUCCCCCCUCAUGAUUUAAUUGGUAUUAAUAAGGAAUAUUUAGCCCAUAGUGCAUGUUGAUACGGAUCCAGAUACCCAAGUACGUCAUUUCAAUAGAAUUCUCUUUAAUUUAUUCUCGCCAUUUCAAUUCCAAUUUUAGAAUUUAUUCUCGCCAUUUUAAUUUAAGUUUUAGCAUAUUCCAAAUCAUUUCCACCACAAAUCCAAUCACCCAUUUACAAAAUUAAUUCUACACACAAUUAAAAUCCACCUCCUCGUGGAUCGACACUCGUCACCAUUGAUCUAUACUACAAUAGAUUCGUGCGCUUGCGAGUACACUAAAAUUUGCACAACAACUUUCAUUCGUUGCUUGUAAAUCUUGGCAUUUUCCUAUGCAUCAUUGCGAAUUUUUUCAAGUUCUGCCAGUUGUAAUCUUCUUUCUGAGCUAGCUUGCUGCAUGUCAAAGUUGAAUUUCUUGAUGGCCCAAUAUGCACGAUGCUCGAGUUCCACAGGUAGGUGGCAAACUUUUCCAUAAACUAGGCUGUAGGGUGACAUCCCAAUCGGGGUCUUGAAAGUCGUUCUAUGCCCAUAAUGCAUCAUCAAGUCUUAAUGACCAAUUUUUUUUGUCUGGUCUCACCGUCUUUUCUAAUAUGUGCUUUAUUUCUCGAUUGAAGAUCUCAACUUGGCCACUGGUUUGCGGAUGAUAUGGGGUCGCCACUUUGUGAGUGAUUGAAUACUUCAUCAAAAGAGCUUUGAAUGCUUUGUUACAAAAGUGGGCACCACCAUCACUGAUUAUCGCUCGAGGACAUCCAAAGCGUGAAACAAUGUUUUUUUCAAAAAUCCUAUCACCACAUUGUGAUCAUUGGUUCUACAUGGAAUUGCUUCUACCCAUUUUGAUACGUAGUCAACAGCAACCAAUAUGUAUUGAUGGCCAAAAGAAGGGGGAAAGGGUCCCAUGAAGUCGAUACCCCAUACGUCAAAAAUCUCGACCACUAAAAUUGGAUUUAGUGGCAUCAUGUUCCUUCGUGUAAUGCUCCCCAUUCGUUGACACCUAUCACAUGAAGAACAGAAAUUGUAAGCGUCUCGAAAUAUAGUUGGCCAAUAGAAACCACAUUGUAAAACUUUAGUUGCUGUUUUCUUAGCGCUGAAAUGGCCUCCACAAGCUUGUUCAUGGCAGAAUGAAAGGAUAUUUUGAAUUUCACUUUCUGGGACACAUCGUCUAACAAUUUGAUCUGCACAAUACUUGAACAAAUACGGGUCAUCCCAAAGAAAUUCUUUAUUUCUGCAAAGAAUUUAGCCUUGUCUUGCUUGGUCCAAUGCUCUGGAAGUUUACCUGUAACAAGAUAAUUAACUAUAUCAGCAUACCACCGUAAUACUUCCACAAUCAUUAAUUGUUCAUCUGGAAAUGACUCAUUCAAUGUUAAUGGCUCUGUAAUUGUGUCAAAAUGGAGACGAGAGAGAUGGUCUGCCACAACAUUUUCUGUGCCUUCUUAUCUUUUGAAUUCCAAGUCAAAUUCCGCAAAAGUAACACCCAACGAAUUAGUCUAGCUUUUGCAUCUUUCUUUGUGAGAAGAUAUUUAAGAGCAGUAUGAUCUGUGAAUAUAAUUAUUUUACACCCAAUGAGAUAAGAUCGAAAAUUUUCCAAUGCAAACACUACUGCUGGCAUUUCUUUUCAGCAGUUGAAUAGUUCAAUUGUGCAUCAUUCAAUGUCAUACUAGCAUAGUAAAUAACAUGGGGAAUUCGAUCAACUCUUUGUCCUAAUACUGCUCCUACUGCAUAAUCAGAUGCAUCACACAUGAGUACAAAUGGUAAGCUCCAGUUUUGGGGCUGAAUGAUGGGUGAUGAUGUCAACAACUGCUUUAAUUUUUCAAACGCCACAAGACAUGAAUCAUUAAAGAUAAAAGGUACAUCCUUAGCAAGUAAAUUGCAUAAGGGUCUAGAAACUUGCUAAAAUCUUUAAUGAAACAUCUAUAAAAACCAGCAUGCCCAAGGAAAGAUCUUACUUCUCUGACUGUUUUGGGUGGAGGAAGAUUAGAAAUGAGAUCCACUUUGGCUUUGUCAACCUCAAUACCUUUGCUCGAAAUGAUGUGACCGAGAACAAUACCUUGUUUUACCAUAAAAUGACACUUCUCCCAAUUUAAGACUAAGUUCUUCUCGAUACAUCUCUGUAGAACUAUUGUUAGAUGAUGUAAACAUUGAUCAAACGAGUCACCAAAGACAGAAAAAUCAUCCAUAAAGACUUCAAGGAAUCGUUCAACCAUAUCAGAAAAAAUGUUCAACAUGCAUCGUUGAAAUGUAGCAGGUGCAUUACAUAAUCCAAAUGGCAUUCUCCUAUAUGCAAAUGGGCCAAAAGGACAAGUGAAAGUGGUUUUCUCUUGAUCUUUUUGGUGCUAUGGGAAUCUGAUUAUAUCCUGAGUAGCCAUCUAGAAAGCAAUAAAAUUCAUGGCCUGCUAAUCUAUCAAGCAUUUGAUCAAUAAAUGGUAAAGGAAAAUGGUCUUUACNNNNNNNNNNNNNNNNNNNNNNNNNNNNNNNNNNNNNNNNNNNNNNNNNNNNNNNNNNNNNNNNNNNNNNNNNNNNNNNNNNNNNNNNNNNNNNNNNNNNNNNNNNNNNNNNNNNNNNNNNNNNNNNNNNNNNNNNNNNNNNNNNNNNNNNNNNNNNNNNNNNNNNNNNNNNNNNNNNNNNNNNNNNNNNNNNNNNNNNNNNNNNNNNNNNNNNNNNNNNNNNNNNNNNNNNNNNNNNNNNNNNNNNNNNNNNNNNNNNNNNNNNNNNNNNNNNNNNNNNNNNNNNNNNNNNNNNNNNNNNNNNNNNNNNNNNNNNNNNNNNNNNNNNNNNNNNNNNNNNNNNNNNNNNNNNNNNNNNNNNNNNNNNNNNNNNNNNNNNNNNNNNNNNNNNNNNNNNNNNNNNNNNNNNNNNNNNNNNNNNNNNNNNNNNNNNNNNNNNNNNNNNNNNNNNNNNNNNNNNNNNNNNNNNNNNNNNNNNNNNNNNNNNNNNNNNNNNNNNNNNNNNNNNNNNNNNNNNNNNNNNNNNNNNNNNNNNNNNNNNNNNNNNNNNNNNNNNNNNNNNNNNNNNNNNNNNNNNNNNNNNNNNNNNNNNNNNNNNNNNNNNNNNNNNNNNNNNNNNNNNNNNNNNNNNNNNNNNNNNNNNNNNNNNNNNNNNNNNNNNNNNNNNNNNNNNNNNNNNNNNNNNNNNNNNNNNNNNNNNNNNNNNNNNNNNNNNNNNNNNNNNNNNNNNNNNNNNNNNNNNNNNNNNNNNNNNNNNNNNNNNNNNNNNNNNNNNNNNNNNNNNNNNNNNNNNNNNNNNNNNNNNNNNNNNNNNNNNNNNNNNNNNNNNNNNNNNNNNNNNNNNNNNNNNNNNNNNNNNNNNNNNNNNNNNNNNNNNNNNNNNNNNNNNNNNNNNNNNNNNNNNNNNNNNNNNNNNNNNNNNNNNNNNNNNNNNNNNNNNNNNNNNNNNNNNNNNNNNNNNNNNNNNNNNNNNNNNNNNNNNNNNNNNNNNNNNNNNNNNNNNNNNNNNNNNNNNNNNNNNNNNNNNNNNNNNNNNNNNNNNNNNNNNNNNNNNNNNNNNNNNNNNNNNNNNNNNNNNNNNNNNNNNNNNNNNNNNNNNNNNNNNNNNNNNNNNNNNNNNNNNNNNNNNNNNNNNNNNNNNNNNNNNNNNNNNNNNNNNNNNNNNNNNNAUUUCAACGACUUGUCUACCUUGGGAUGUUAAUCCAUCGUAGAAAUAAGACACUAAUCUCCAUGUUUCAAAAUCGUGAUGUGGGCAAAUGUUAAGUAGUUCUUUAAACCUAUCUCAAUAUUGGUAGAGGGUUUCUCUUGAUUUUUGAGUGAAAGUGGUGAUUUGUCUUUUGAAAGAAUUUGUUCUGUGGGGUGGGAAGAAUUUUUUCAAAAAUUGUGCUUGCAUUUCAUCCCAAGUUCUGAUGGAUUCUGACAUAAGAUUUUGUAGCCAAAUUUUAGCUUUAUCCUUAAGUGAGAAAGGAAAAAACUUAAGCCUGAUUAUAUUUAUGCUACAAUUUUGAUCAGUACAUGUGUUACAGACUUCCUCAAAUUCCCUUAAAUGCAAAUAUGGAUUUUCAUACUCAAAACCAUGAAAAGUAUGAAGAAUUUGAAUGAUACCAUGUUUGAAAUUAAAACGUGAUGCAUCAGAAGGGAAAACUAUGCAUGAUGGUGACCCUGUUCUAGUAGGAUGCAUGAAGUCUCUAAGGGUCCUAGGUUGUUCAUGAAGAUUUUGCAAGGCUUGGUCAUUUUCGUGCUUCACAAAAUUUUCAGCUCUUAUGUCAGCCAUAUUUAAGGGUGGUGAAGGUGAUUUUCUAAUUAAUCUACCACUAUUUGUACGAGACCAACGACGCAUGCAAUGCUAAUGAUGUGCGCUAAACUAAUGAUGCAAAAAUGCUAAAUGAAAAUUGCAAAAUAAAAAAUAAAUUGGAAAUUAAAUAAGCAAAAAAAUACGAAAUAAAAAUAAACAAACUGAAAAAUAAAUAAAUUAAGUGGUGAAACCAGCCAUUAAAGAAACAGUUUAGGCGUAUUUUAAAACUAGCCAUAUAAUAAAACAUAAAAUUAAAUAAAUUAAUGCACAAAAAUAAAUAAACUGAAUUAAAAUGUAGCGGUAGAACCGACCAUAUAAAUAAAAAUACAUAAAUUAACAAAAUUUAAAUAACAGUUAGGCAGUAGAACAGACCAUUUAAAAUAAAUGCGAAAAGUAAAUUGAAGAAAUUUAAAGAAAUUAAUUUGAUUUGGGGACUAAUUUGCAAGGGUUUUUGGGUUAAGAUAAAGUUUCUCACAAUGUUAUGGAUAAUGUUAAGGUUUGAAAAGAAGAGGGGUGCUAACUGAAGUUUUACAAAAGAGAAUAAAAUAGAAUCACGAAAAGAUGGUAACGACAAAACAAAAAAAAUUAAAAUAAAUUAAAAUAAAGUAAAGACAAACUAAUACCAAAAAUUAGAAAAUUUUCCGGCAACGGCGUCAAAAACUUGACACGACUCAAAAGUGUAUUACUCUCAAGUAUAAGAGUGUCUAGUUAUAUAUAACCCAGUGAGACCAGAGUCGAAGCACAGGGAGUUUUAAAUCUAGUAAAACUAAGAUAAUUAAUUGUGGGGGAAAAAAAUUAUUUGAAAUCAAUUUAAAAAUAAGCUAAGGUUUAGGAUCCACUCUCUAUAUUCAAACUAUAAUUUUAAUACUCUCUCAUUUAUAUUUUGACUCACUUUUACCAAGUAAUUAUUAUAUCAUUUAAUUCUAUAUGUGUGGAUAAAUAUAGAAUAAAGUACCUAAUGUGCCACAUUUUAUUAAUGUGUCGACAUUAUGUGAAAAUACCAUAAAUACCAUAAAUACCAGUGAGAUUUAUAAAUUAACAUGAUAUAAAAAUAAUUAGAAAAGAAUUAAAUAACUUAAAAACUCAUUUUGAGAAAAUAAUAAUAAUUAAUAAUUUGAAACAUUGAGCUUCACCAUACACCUCAGCUUAAUAAAAUUAGCUACUCAUAUUGAAAGAAAACACAAUAUUCUUUUUAUUUGAUAAACUUUUUUGAAAUAUAUUACAAAGAAAAUUGAUACAAACGGAAACAAGAAAAGAAAAGAAACAAAGAUAGAAAUUCUUCAGUCUCAGCUUCAGCUCUCAAAAUAACUCUCCCUCUUCUGGCCUGCAUCCCCUUGCCUUUUAUAGGCAAGGGAAUCGUCUUCUUUUAUUUUAUUUUAUUUUAUUAAUAUUAAUAUUUUAUUUUAUUAUUAUAUAUAUAUAUAUAUAAUUGUGUGAUGGUUAGGAGGCGUGAUGGCCUCCUGACCAUCACCAACAUGUUUUGUUCUUUUAUUUUUUUUUUUUAUUUUAUUUAUUAUUAUAUCUCUUCAAUUUUGUUCUAAUAGUUCUUCUUUGUUCCCGCUUUCAAUUCCAAUUCCAUCUUUAUUCCUAAAAAAUAUUUACAAGAUAAAAAUUAACGAAUUACGAAUUAAUUUAACAUAAAAUAUAUUUGGGGAGUAUUAAAAUAAUUUAGAAAUAAUGAAUGCAUUAAUCGACACAAUAAGUGAAAAAAACUAAUAAUUUUAUCCUUAUUAAAUGUACACUUUUUAGUGUCAAUCAAUACUUCUUACUGCGGCUACUAUUACCAUCAUUAUUUGGACGCUCCAACACAAAGGUCCAGGGGUCUGGCUCCAGUAUAUAAGCUUGUAACAGAUCAAGUAGCUCUAUUACCAGUGUGAGCAUAAAUAAAAAGCUUUUUCGCUGUGGAAUGAAUGAAAUAGUUUUUAUUGCAUGGUUAAGAAAUACGAUGAAGCCAGCAUAAAAGUUAUUGACAUUUAACAAACCGAUGAGUUUCUAGUGAAUGUGCAGAUGGGCCUAAGAUGCUAGUGUGACAAGUGCCUCUGGUGUUGCAAGAUCUCCUGGAAGGAAAAUAAAAGCAUCAGCAUGAUUAAGUAUUUCAGUUAUUCUUUCUUGCAUACCUGAGACGACUAACUCUUUUCCAGUCGGUGAGUCAGACAAAUUGCCCAAAGAUUUUAGAGCUCUUGGGAUGAUGCCUAACACUUGACUUUCUCUGACAAAAGCAACUUUUGAGACCAAUUUUGAUAACCCUCGGUUACCUCCUCCAUACACCAAGUGUAAUUUUCUCUCUGCUAUACUUCGACAAGAACUAUGGCUGCCUCAACGAACUCUUUAUGUUUGCCAUAGUUAAAUUCAGAAAGCACACAAAUGUUCUUGAAUUGUCUAUGGGGAGUAGCUGUCAUUGUGAUACUGUUGUGAAAAUUUUAAUAUACUCGCAAGCGCACAAAUCUAGAAAUAGAAUAGUGGUAACGAGAGGUCGAUCCCACAGGGAUUGUUAUAAAUUGAAAAGUCUAAUUUAAAUCUAAAAUUAAUAUUAAUUCUAACCUAGUUGACCAAAUUGAGUUUCUAAGAAAAUUAAACCAAUUAAACUAAGGAAACAAUUAAAAUAAAGGAGAAUUCAAUAAGAUAAGAAUUACCAAGUCUUUAGAAUCCACCACUAUUCAACUAGUAAUUAUCUAAUUAUUAAUUAAUCCCCAAUUUACAGUGACAACUCGAAAUCAAUCUAUGUCAUCUCAUGGAUAUAACAAUUAAGCCCAAAUAAAAUUAAUCUUGUGUAGGUUCUUUUUCUGCUUAAUAAUAUGACAUCUAAGAAUCUCAUGUAAACAUAUUGAAUAACAAAGAGUCAAAGUUUCAUAAGCACUCCAUGUAAGCAAUUUAAUGAAAGACAUAGAAUCAAAGAUAAUCAUGUAUAAACUUUAUAAAUCUAAGCAUAGAUUUAAUCGAAUAUUAAUCCUGCCAAUCAAUAAUACAUGACAGAAUUGAUGAAAAGAUUUUAUUAACAUCCAAUUAAUCAUGUGAAAUAAAAACCAUAAUCAUCAAAGAACAUAUAUAGAGAAUUAAUUAAAUAAAAAGAUAAUUAUUUCAUUGAAUAGGUUUCAUCCUUAACCUCAGUACAAGAAAAUUAGUUAGACAUACUUGAAGUGGGAGCAACAAAAUAAAUAAAACCAACCAUGGAAAGCCGAAGCGCUGCUGCCGCUACCCUCUAUUCUCUCUGUCUCGCGUCCUCCCUUUUGUUUCCGUCCUCUGGCGGCUACCUCAUUCAAAAGCCAAAACUCUCUUUUUAUAAUGCUUAGCCACCGAAUCCUCUUUGUCUACUAAUUAAAAUCCUUUUCCAAUUAUAAAACAAAGCUUCCAUAAUAACGCCACCAUAAGCCAUUAAUUCCACUUUUGAAAGUCAAGUGUGGCCCUAUUUAAAUUGCUUUCCACUUUUGCAAUGCCAUGCACGUGCAACUCAAUUGGAGAAUUGAAAUUCAAUGCAAAUUGCUCUUAGCUCUUAACUCUGUCACGACUUUAACUAAUAUUCUCCCAAAUUGUUAUUCUUUUUGUACUUUUUUAUUUCCAAUCUCCAAUUAAUUCCCUAUGCAAUAAAAUAAUUCAAUUAAUUAAAAAUAAAAAUAAAAAUAACUAGUAAUUAGAUAAUAAACGGUAAAAUAUGUAUAUAAAUUAUGCUCAUCAGAUACUUCUCAAAAAUAAUUUGUGAGUGCUUGACAAAAAAUCAUAUAUUUAAGAAUCUUGGUGACAGUGGGUCACAACUGUGUUUGAGGUAGCAUUUCAGUGUCAAAUAACGCGUAAAGCACAUGGCUCACGAGUCAAAAAAAAAUAGUAAAAAGAAAAAAGUAAACAGUAUAGAAUAAAAUUAUUAAAGACAAUAAUGCAAAUAAUAAAAUAAUAGUGAAAUAAAACAUCAGUAAAGUAAAAGGAUAUUUACAUGUAGUUACGGUUGUGGCUCACAUCUUCCUCUGGUUUUACGUCCAGAAACAGCUUGAACGCCCUCUAUGGGUCGAGAAUAGGCUUCCCAUCCAGGUUUCUUAUAAACUGGCAAACAUGGUUGUUUAUAGUCAGAUUCUCGAGACUAUAUCGUUCAUGCUCUUUCUGGAAUAAUGGCCAUAACUAGAGAAUCGCUCCUUGCACAUAUCCACUGGGAUGCGUUUCAAGAGACAAAAGGAUAUCAUCCAAUGACUCCUUAUUCAAGCCAUCCCUAAUGAAUUGAAUCUUAUCUUCCCUGUUAUCAGACACCAUUCCUAAAGAACAUGGGUUUUUAUUGCAUCUCAUUCUGACACAUUUAUGACAAGCAACAUAAAUUCUUCGAGCUCUUUGUUUUCUUGCAUAAUUUCUUUUACCACAACCAAGCAUGUAUGCAAUAAAUUUUGGAGGUAACUCACCUGCCAAUCGUACUUUAGCCUCAAUUAACCAACGGAUGUCCGUAGGUAUGUUAUUACUCAUGAGCAAUCGCAUGCGUUCGGACCGGGCUUUAUAGAUGUAAGGAGGGCAUUUCUGAGGAAGUGAAGGGAAUCGCUUGUGAAGCUUCGCUAGAAUCUCGUUUCUGUCCAUACUUUCGCCUCAGAAUGUCAGUUAUUAUGGGAAAUUGAAGUAACCGACUUGAUUGUCACGGAGUACCGUUAUCCGCCACUUCACCGGUGUAACAAACUAAAGCACACAAACAGAAAAACAAAUUAAAACACACAAAGAAAAUUAAAUCGUCCUCUUAUUGAAUUUUACCUCAAGCUCUAACUGGAUGUCGUAAACACUUCUCUCAAUUCUCGGAGUUGGCUUUCUAGAUUCUCAACAUAGGCUACUAACUCUGGUGGUUGUAGAGCCCAAAUGCGUUGUGUUUUACAAAAUUGAAAUCUGCCUUUUGAGAUGAGUUUUGACACGUUGAAGUGGUUUAAGAAUGUUCAGGAGGAACGGUCUAAGUAUGGUACUCAUGAUUAAAAAUGAUAAGAGAAAACUUAAUAGUUAAACAAACACACUUAUGCAAAAAUAAUUUCAAUUAGCAAAAGAAUAAUAAAAAGAAAGAAAAAAAAUCAAAUCAACGAAAAGAAAAAAAAUCAAUUCAAAUCUAGUGGGUCACUCAAAUUUAUUUCAGUGUCUUCUCCAUGUGGUUGGUAUUCUAGAUAUGGCUUUAAUCUUUGACCAUUAACUUUAAAUGUGACACCGUUCUUUAGGUCCUUAAUUUCAAUUGCCCAUGUGGAAAAACAGUAUGAACAAUAAAGGGACCAGACCAUCGAGAGCAUAACUUACUUGGGAAUAGGUGCAAGCGAGAAUUGAAUAAAAGCACUUUUCUGACCUGGAGUGAAAGAUUUUCUCAUAAUGUGCUUGUCAUGAAAGACUUUCAUUCGUUGCUUGUAAAUUUUGGCAUUUUCGUAUGCAUCAUUGCGAAUUUCUUCAAGUUCUGCCAGUUGUAAUCUUCUUUCUAAGCUGGCUUGCUGCAUGUCAAAGUUGAAUUUCUUGAUGGCCCAAAAUGCACGAUGCUCGAGUUCCACAGGUAGUUGACAAGCUUUUCCAUACACUAGCCUACAGGGUGACAUUCCAAUCGGGGUCUUGAAAGCCGUUCUAUAUGCCCAUAAUGCAUCAUCAAGUCUUAAUGACCAAUCUUUUCUGUUUGGCCUCACCGUCUUUUCUAAUAUGUGCUUUAUUUCUCGAUUGGAGAUCUCAACUUGGCUACUGGUUUGCAGAUUAUAUGGGGUCGCCACUUUGUGAGUGAUUGAAUACUUUGUCAAAGAGCUUUGAAUGCUUUGUUACAAAAGUGGGCACCACCAUCACUGAUUAUCGCUCGAGGGAAUCCAAAGCGUGAAACAAUGUUGCUUUUCAAAAAUCCUAUCACCACCUUAUGAUCAUUGGUUCUACAUGGAAUUGCUUCUACCCAUUUCGAUACGUAGUCAACAGCAACCAAUAUGUAUUGAUGGCCAAAAGAAGAGGGAAAGGGUCCCAUGAAGUCGAUACCCCAUACGUCAAAAAUCUCAACCACUAAAAUUGGAUUUAGUGGCAUCAUGUUCCUUCGUGUAAUGCUCCCCAUUCGUUGACACCUAUCACAUGAAGAACAGAAAGUGUAAGCGUCUCGAAAUAUAGUUGGCCAAUAGAAACCACAUUGUAAAACUUUUGUAGCUAUUUUCUUAGCACUGAAAUGGCCUCCACACGCUUGUUCAUGGCAGAAUGAAAGGAUAUUUUGAAUUUCACUUUCUGGGACACAUCGCCUAACAAUUUGAUCUGUACAAUACUUGAACAAAUACGGGUCAUCCCAAAAGAAAUUCUUUAUUUCCGCAAAGAAUUUAGCCUUGUCUUGCUUGGUCCAAUGCUCUGGAAGUUUACCUGUAACAAGAUAAUUAACUAUAUCAGCAUACCAAGGUAAUACUUCCACAUUCAUUAAUUGUUCAUCUGGAAAUGACUCAUUUAAUGGUAAUGGUUCCAUAAUUGUGUCAAAAUGGAGGCGAGAGAGAUGGUUUGCCACAACAUUUUCUGUGCCUUUCUUAUCUUUAAAUUCCAAGUCAAAUUCCUGCAAAAGUAACACCUAACGAAUUAGUCUAGCUUUUGCAUCUUUCUUUGUGAGAAGAUAUUUAAGAGCAGCAUGAUCUGUGAAUAUAAUUAUUUUACAACCAAUGAGAUAAGAUCGAAAUUUUUCCAAUGCAAACACUACUACUAGCAUUUCUUUUUCAGUAGUUGAAUAGUUCAACUGUGCAUCAUUCAAUGUCAUACUAGCAUAGUAAAUAACAUGAGGAAUUCGAUCAACUCUUUGUCCUAAAACUGCUCCUACUGCAUAAUCAGAUGCAUCACACAUUAGCUCAAAUGGUAAGCUCCAGUUUGGGGCCUGAAUGAUGGGUGAUGAUGUCAAUAACUGCUUUAAUUUUUCAAACGCCACAAGACAUGAAUCAUUAAAGAUAAAAGGUACAUCCUUAGCAAGUAAAUUGCAUAAGGGUCUAGAAACUUUGCUAAAAUCUUUAAUGAAACGUCUAUAGAAACCAGCAUGUCCAAGGAAAGAACUUACUUCUCUGACUGUUUUGGGUGAAGGAAGAUUAGAAAUGAGAUCCACCUUGGCUUUGUCAACCUCAAUACCUUUGCUCGAAAUGAUGUGACCGAGAACAAUACCUUAUUUUACCAUGAAAUGACAUUUCUCCCAAUUUAAGAGUAAGUUCUUCUCGAUACAUCUCUGCAGAACUAGUGUUAGAUGAUAUAAACAUUGAUCAAACGAGUCACCAAAGACAGAAAAAUCAUCCAUAAAGACUUCAAGGAAUCGUUCAACCAUAUCAGAAAAAAUGUUCAACAUGCAUCGUUGAAAUGUAGCAGGUGCAUUACAUAAUCCAAAUGGCAUUCUCCUAUAUGCAAAUGUGCCAAAAGGGCAAGUGAAAGUAGUUUUCUCUUGAUCUUUUGGUGCUAUGGGAAUCUGAUUAUAUCCUGAGUAGCCAUCUAGAAAGCAAUAAAAUUCAUGGCCUGCCAAUCUAUCAAGCAUUUGAUCGAUAAAUGGUAAAGGAAAAUGGUCUUUACGUGUGACAGAAUUCAACUUUCUAUAAUCAAUGCAUACACGCCAUCCUGUAGUCACUCUAGUGGGUAUCAAUUCAUUAUCAGCAUUCGUAACUACUGUGACUCCUGACUUUUUGGGGACAACUUGUACAUGACUAACCCAUGAACUAUCAGAAAUUGGGUAAAUGAUACCUGCGUCUAAUAGCUUAAGGACUUCAGUUCUAACAACUUCUUUCAUAUUAGGAUUUAACCGACGUUGCAUUUCCCUAGUAGAUUUAGCAUUUUCAUCAAGGUGAAUGUAAUGCAUGCAGUCUACUGGGUUUAUACCUUUUAUGUCCGCUAUGGUCCAUCCUAAUGCUCCUUUAUUCUCUUUUAAAAUAUCCAAGAACUUACCUUUUUGUUCAUCGUUGAGGGAUGAUGAGAUGAUUACCGGUAGAGUGCUUUCUUCUCCCAAAAACGCAUAUUCCAAAGUGUUGGGCAAUGGUUUGAGCUCGAGUUUCAGUGGUGAUUCUGAUGAUGGGAUGAGUUUCUUCUCUGAUGGUGCUAGUUGUUCAACUCUUGACUUCCAUUUAUUAGUGUCCAUGGAUGGUGCUGAGUCAAGUAGAGCGUUGACCUCAUCGACCGAUAUGUCAAUAUCAAAAUUCAAACCAAAGUGAGUUAAACAUGUUUGUAAAGGAUCAUCACUAAGGUUUGAAAGAAAAGUAUUAUCAACUAUUGUUUCUAUUAAAUCCACAUCAACAAUUCCAUCAUCUGCACUGUGAGGUUGUUUGGCAAUGUUGAAAAUAUUUAGCUCCAUAGUCAUGUUGCCGAAGGACAACUGUAUAUUUCCGGGCCUGCAUUGAAUAUGAGCAUCCGCAGUUGCCAAGAAAGGUCGGCCUAGGAUAAUGGGGAUGUGCUUCCUUGAAUUCUGUAUUGGUUGAGUGUCAAUUACAAUGAAAUCAACAGGAAAAUAAAACUUGUCUACCUGGAUAAGCACGUCCUCCACAAUACCACGAGGUAUUUUCGUGGACCGAUUUGCAAGCUGUAACACCACUGGAGUUGGGUGUAAUUCUCCAAGUCUAAGUUUCAAAAAUACUGAGUAAGGCAACAGAUUUACACUAGCUCCUAAAUCCAAUAAAGCAUUCUCAAUUGUGUGGUUCCCUAUACUACAUGAAAUAGUGGGGGAGCCUGGGUCUUUGCAUUUUAGAGGAAUUUUAUGUUGGAGUAUAGAACUAACAUUUUCUGUUAAAAAUGCCUUCUUUUGAACAUGAAUGUUUCUCUUUUUAGUACAAAGGUCUUUAAGAAACUUGGCAUAAGAUGGAACUUGUUUAAUAGCAUCAAGCAAAGGGAUGUUAACACUUACCUGUUUGAAGAUUUCAAGAAUCUCACCUGUGGAUUUUCCCUUUUUUCCUUUAGCUAACCUCUGAGGAAAUGGAGCCUUAGGAACAUAUUCUCGUGGGUUGGUUUCUUCUUUCCCCUCCGGUGAUGAGUCUUCAACAUUCACAGGUACAAUUUGAUUUUCUUUUGUCACCGGCAUCUCCACUUUGUUGUCGACUUCUUUUCCUUUUCGCAAGGUCAUGAUUGCUUUGACCUCUCCAUGCUGUUGUGGUGAACUGGUACUUGCUUCAUGUACUCCUUUAGGAUUAGGCACUGGUUGACUUGGAAAUUUACCUUUCUCAACAGUCAUUACCAAGGUCUGAACUGAAGAAGCAAGUUGUCCGACCAUCUUCUCGAGGCUUGAAACUGAUUGAGCUUGUGAGUUGAAGCUUGUUCUCAACUCAUUUCGUAGUCCAUCAAUGGUGCGAUUCUGUUGCUCAAUCGUGGAGUGAGUAACAUUCUUGAAAUUCUGAAAUGCAUCCUCCCAUGGUCUGGGUUGAGAGUAGUUCUGGUUCUGAUUGUAUUGUCUGAAUGAUGGUUGAGAGGCUUGAGGAAUUUGAGGAAUUUGUUGCAUUGGUGGAGCUGGAGCUGCUGGUCCAUUCUGUUGGAAUCCUUGAGACCAUGAAAAAUUGGGGUGGUCUCUCCAUCCAGGAUUAUAUUUGUUGGAGUAUGGGUUGUAAUUUGAUGGCUUUCUCAUUACACCUAUGGCAUUGGCUUGAUCUGGGUAUGAGUCAUGGUCAUGUGGUUCUGUUGAUUUAGCAGUCGAUAACGAUGCUAUUUGUCGAGAGAGACCUUCAAUUAUCGCUUUAACUUCUUUGAUUUCCGAACUUGACUUGCCAAUGUGAACCUCAUUUACUCCCUUAAUUCUUUUGGUAUUCCUGAGUGACCGACUCCAUUGUUGGGAAUUAUCCGCUUGUCGCUGAAAGAAUUCCAAAAUCUCUGAUGCGCUUUUUGACAUUAGCUCUCCUCCACUUGUUGCCAUUAGCCAUUCUUGCACAUUCGGCAAUAAUCCUUCCAAAAAGUAUUGUCAUUGGUGCCAGUUCUCGUACCCAUGAUGUGGACACUUCAAGAGUAGCCCAUUGAAUCGCUCCCAUGUUUCGAAAAACUGCUCGUCCUCUCUCUGUGUAAACUCUAAAAUUUCCCUCCGAAUAGCAUUGGUUUUAUGUACUGGGAAAUAUUUAUUCAAAAAUUUUGUUACUAUUUGUUCCCAUGAUGUAAUGCUAUUAGCAGGCAAAGUAUUUAACCAUGAACGAGCUCUAUCAUUUAAAGAAAAUGGGAAUAAUCUGAGUUUAACAUCAUCGUCUGAAAAAUUUUCAUAUUUAAAAGUUUGACAAAUGGCAUGAAAAUCAUUCAGAUGAUUAUAUGGGUCCUCAUUUUCUAGGCCAUAAAAUGUGGGGAGACAAUUUAGCACACUAGGUUUUAAUUCAAAACUCCUAGCAGCUACAUUUGGGUAUCUUAUACAUGAUGUGCUCAAAUUAGCUAAGGGACUAAAAUAGUCUUUAAAUGACCUCUCUUGUGGUGCUUGUAAAUCCAUUUUAUUUUUAACGUGUUUGUGUGUGCGAAGUGUUUUUUCUAAUUCAAGAUCUAUAGGUUCAAGAUUAGGAAAUAAUGACCUACGACCAUGCAUGCAAAACAAAUAAAAUAAAAAUAAAGAUGGGAACAAAACAAAAAAAUAAAGAAGAUGGAGAAAUUACGAUACUAACCUUAUUGCGCUAUUAUAACCUUAUAAAAACACACUAGAAAAAAUUUCAUGAAAUAAAUUAAUCCGUAUUAAUGCCAAUUAAAUCAUGAGGGGGGAAUCCACACCUCAUGAACCACACUCUAAUCAAUAUGGUGCUAAGGGCUUAUCGUGCCAAAUAAUAAUAACCUUGUACUAGAGAGCCAGUGUAACCAAGGCGGUAUCUAGAUAAGAUUAUUAUUAUUUGUCAACGAAAAGUCAAAUCAUCCAAAAAAAUUAGAGGGGAAAAGAAAAUAAAUUUACCAAAUAAAGCCCAUGACACAUGUUGAGACUUCAUCUUCAACCCAAGCUUGAAAGAAAAUUAGCCACUUAUAAUUGAACUAGGGGCAAAAUGGGAAUUUAUUAAAAUACGUAGAAAAUACAAGAUGGAGAGGGAAUUACAGAAAAUGGAUCCCAAAAAUGGAUUCAGAGCUCUCAAAUUAGCGGGGGGAAGCCCCCUUUUUAUAGAUACAUGGAGUAAAUCAUGGCCAUCGGAUUAAAAACAGUUUGGACGCUCAGGAUUGCGCCACGUCAUCAGUCAACAGUACGCGGUUUGACCACGCGGAUGAACAGUAACACGGUUUGACCCGGGUGAACAGUGACGCGGUUUGGUUGAAAAUAAUUCUGUGGGAUGCAUGUACCGUACGCGAGAUUUUUCGUCCAUUGAUAUGCUACCACGUCACCAUCAACAGUACAUAAGAAUUUUAGCUCAACAGGAUCGUGACACCUCAUCAGUCAAUGCCACAUCAUCGGUGAAUGCCACGUUAUCAAUUUGUCUAUGUGAACAGUGUCAUGAACAGUAACAUAGACAGUACUGUACACGUGAAUAGUAUUGUACAUGUAAAUAGUGCCAUUUUUCCUUUUAUGCUCCUCCUAAGGUUUUCGACUGUCCUGAGUUCAAAAGUGAUGUCCGUUUUACCGUCUGAUCUCUCGUUUAUUGUGAAAUGACCAUGAUGCCCCUAAAAUACAUAAAAUACUUUAUUAAAAUCAAACACACAUAAUUAAAUUGCAAGAAGCUUAAAUACAUAAAAGUAAAGGUUGUUAGUAAAACUUGAAAUGUAAAAUGAUGAUUUUCUCCUUUAUAAAUAUACAUUUUCUAACACUCAACACUAUACUGGUGCAUGGGUUCUUUGUCUUUGGACUGUGGGUGCGGUGGGGUUUGAGGUGGUGGUUGAGGUGCUGGCGGGGAUGCUGGAGUAUAACUGGGAGGCGGUUGUCCAAGAAUGGAUGUUUGAUAAAUUUUGACAGGCCGUGGUUGAGGUUUAGGUUUUGGUUUAGGUUUAGGUGGUGGUAAUGGAUUGUCUCUGAAGAGAGUAUGGGCAUGCCAAAUAGCUUGGAAGGAUCAUACUGUUUGAUGGGGGAAAGCAUAGAGGCAAAUGGAAGAUAAGGUGGACCGAUGGAAGGAAUCGGUGGUGAUGUGGUAAAAGGGGUAGGUCUUUAUUUUUCAGAUUCAAUCUGAUCAAGUUCAGCUUUUAAGCGCCUGAUUUCCCUUUCUUUUUGGUCAAAUUCUGGGCCAUUGUAUCUUUGGGCAAGCAUGGCUCGUAACUCUGAAUCGAGUUGGCCAAUUCUAGAUUGAAGAUUUUGGUGGAUCUGCUGCAUCUGGGCAGUAAUAGAGUCAACUUUCAUCUCAAUCUGUUCAGUUCACAAACUGAUUUUCUCAACUUUGGAAUUGAUGUGCGACAAAGCAUCAUUCUGUGCUCUAGCAUUUUGGGUUUGCCAGUUGAGGACCGAUUCAAAAGGCUUGGGGGGCUCAAGGUGGCCAGUGGAGGUAAUAGCUGAAGGGAUAAAGGGUUUGGACACAACAUUUCAUUGUGAAUCUGUGUGAGGUUCUAAAGGAAGAAAGGAGGAAGAGUAAUCGGAAGAGGUAGAGGAAAACAUCAGACAAGCCAG
rnacentral:lncRNA from 1 species